CUGGCCCAUCAACCUUUGGCUCAAGUGGCCUCUCUAGUAUAAGUAUCCAGAAGGUCUCUCUCUCCCAGCGUAACCUAGCAACUGUCGCUCCUCACCAGACACCAACUGCCACAACAAUAGAAGGAGAGGUGAGGUCCCCUUAGUUCAACAUGGUAUCAGACGCAAGUGGCAGUGGGGCUGGGCGAGCAGUGCGCGAGGCGAGCUCGUCGUGUAUUGGGGCCUGCAGGCAACGGGCGGGCGGGUUCUUUGCUGGUUCUUUGACGGUUGGGCUGGUUCUCCUUCUCCGUUCCGUUGUGCCUCUCGUGGAGAACUGGAGCUACAGGAGGCUUGUGUCUCUUGGAGGAAAGGAGAAGGAGAGAUGAAGCAGCGGGAGGAGGAAGAAGUGGAGCUGCUGGAGGCUGCUGACUAUGACUGCAUCUGCACAGACUAUGGGGUAUGAUCAAUGUAAUGGUGACCACAGUGUUUUACAGACACUCUGAUCGAAAGAUCACCAUUCUUGCAGUUUAUGUGGAUGAUAAGGAGAAAAUAGAGAGAUUGAAGGGGUGUCUGGUGAAGGAUUUGGGCAACCUAAAAUACUUCCUAGGCAUUGAAGUGGCAUGGACAGAGGAGUAAAUUGCAGAAAACCACUACUUUGAAGGCAAGGUUUGCGAAAACCACUACAAUACAUUUUUUUUUGCAAAAAACACCGUGUCUUCGGUAAUCUUUUUGCAGAAAGCACUGAUCGGCGGAUCGGGCUCAGUUAAGCUUGUUUAUGACAGGUGGGGUCCUUUUUUUGCUUAUGUGGCACAACAGUUUAGGUUUAAGGCAAAAACACCCCUCGACUUUCUCCACACUGCUCCCAGGCCCUCCAACCACGCCGCAGCCGGCAAGCGCGCACACGAGCGCACACGAGCUCAGCGCCGCCCCUCCUCCUCGGGCCGCUGCCGUCGUGCCCCCAUCGUCCCGCCCAACACCGGAUCCGAGGGUGCCUCACCGGGUAGGGGCCGCCGGCAGUGAGGGAGUGGCCGCGUCGGCUUGAUUGGGCCAUUGGGGAUCGAGCAACCGCGGGGGGCGAUUGGGAGCUCUAGCAUGCCGGAAGGUGCGGCGGCGGCCGGCGCUCGAGGUGCCGCACCGCCCCCGGACGGCGGAGGGCUGUUGUGGAGCUCCAACAUGGCGGUGGGCAGGGCCAGGAUGGGCGGCGUCCUCUGCCUCGAACUACGUGUGGCAACGACGAUGGCGCCCGAGCCUUUGCCUCGGCCAGGUCGGGACUGGUGCGGCGGCCUUCUUCGUCGACCUGGGCGCGGCAGCGGCGGCCUGUACGUCGACCUGGGCGCGGCAGCGGCGGCCUGUACGUCGACCUGAGCGCAGCAAUGGCUACCCUUAUCUCGGCCGGGGACGGGACGGGCAGGGGUGGCCUGCCGUUCCUCGACGCCCCCGCGGCCGCAGAUGCACCGGAACGACUUGCGCAUGCAGCUGACGAGCGGCUGGCCGGCGGCGCCCACCACGGCGAACUGCAGCAACCCCGCCCACCAUGGAACGAAGCGUCGGGGAGGACCCCCCGAUCCAGAACGCCGUCGGGAGGAGCAGUUCCACCGCGGAGGAGCGUCGGGGCUAAUUGCAUUUUUUAUUUUUUAUUUAGGGGUAUGUUUGUAAAAUUCUAGGGUCUAGUUUGUAAUUUUAGAUUAAAACCCAUAAAUUACAAAAAGGUAGGCCACGCAAGUAGAAAACGGGCCCCACUUGUCAUAAACGCGCUCAAUAGAGGCAAAUCCGCCGAUCAGUGCUUUCUGCAAAAAGAUUACCGAAGACACGGUGUUUUUUGCAAAAAAAAAUGUAUUGUAGUGGUUUUCGCAAACCUUGCCUUCAAAGUGGUGGUUUUCUGCAAUUUACUCACAGAGAAGGGAAUAUCUUUGGCCACCGAAAACACAUCUUGGAUCUCUCGAGUGAUAUGGGCAUGAUGGGAUGUCGUGCAGCUCUUACUCCGAUUGAACAAAAUCAUCAAGUGACAGCACAAGCAGGUGAGCUAGUGAAUAAGGAAGAUUACCAGAAACUGGUUGGGAGGUUAUUGUACUUGUGUCAUACGAGGUCUGACAUUGCGUUGUCAUGGGUGUGGUGAGCAGAUACAUGCAUGAACCAAAGAGUGGGCAUCUUGAUAAAGUGCACAGAAUCCUGACUCCAGGAAAAGGGUUGUGGUUUGCGAAGAGUGGACAUCUUGACGUGGAUGGCUAUAGUGAUUCUGAUUGGGCUAAUUGUCAAGAUGAUAGAAGAACAACUUCAGGCUAUCGUGUGUUUGUGGGAGGAAAUUUGGUGUCAUGGAGAAGCAAAAAAUAGACAAUUGUGUCUAGAUUAACAGUAGAAGCUGAGUAUAGAGCAUUAUCUUAAGGGUUGAGUAAGAUGCUCUGGGUGAAGAAUCUACUGAGCAAGUUGAAACUUCUGAGGAAGGGGGCCCUGAGAGUAUGGUGUGACUAUCAGUCAGUCAGCUGCCAAUAACCAGUUCAAUAUGAUAGGACAAAACAUGUGGAAAUUGAUCACUUCUUCAUUAAGGAGAAACUUGAUGCUGAGAUCAUCAGCCUUGCCCAUGUCAUCUCUGGGCAACAUAUUACAGAUUUGCUUGACAAAGGCAAUAGGACAAAGGACUGUAACUUGGCAUGUGACAAGAUGGGGUUGAUAGAUAUCUACCACCCAUCAUGAGGGGGAGUGCUGAACCGAUAUGGGCCUGGCCCAUCUACCUUUGGCCCAAGUGGCCUCUCUAGUAUAGGCAUCUAGGAGGGCUCUCUCCUUGUGUAACCUAGCAACUGGCGCUCCACACCAGCCGCCACAGCAAUAGAAGGAGGGGUGAGGUCCUCUCAGUUCAACAAAAAGGUUGCCCAUUUUUUUCAUUUGACAUCAUUACCAUACCUCCGACAGAAAAUCAAGUUUCCAAUCCAUAUAUGACCAACACGCAUUAUGACGGAAUAAAAGAAACAACGAACAGAGCUCCUUUUCUUUUUUACAAUAACUAACUAACUAUCUCAUACUCUCCAAACCUCCCCUCUUUCUAUCUCAUAUUUAUAAUUUAAAUCACUUCUUAACAAGAUAUGAACCUGCGGAUGAAGGCAAUCCAGAUGAUCAUAACAUGUACUGACCCCAACAUGUACAGGCAUAUUUCAAUUCAACAAAGAUAUCUUAUGAUGCAACCAAACAACCGUACAAGCAUUAAAUGACUAGAUUCAACUACCAUGAUGCAUGUGUCAAAUGAAUUACACAAGUCACAAAUAUAAGAAGAGUGACAUAAACCUCCCCUCUCUUUCUAUCUUAUAUUUAUAAUUUAAAUCACUUCUUAACAAGAUAUGAACCUGCGUAGAAGCUUCAUUAAACGGACCAACUAUGCAUGUGAAGGCAAUCCAGAUGAUCACAACAUGUACUGAUCCCAACAUGUACUGGCGUAUUUCAAUUCAACAAGGAUGUCUUAUGAUGCAACCAAAUAACCAUACAAGCACUAAAUGACCAGAUUCAACUACCAUGAUGCAUGUGUCAAAUGAAUUAAACAAGUCACAAAUAUAAGAGUGACAUAAAUCCCCAAAACAUUCAUAUGCAAAUCUGCAUACCAUGGUUGGUGGGUGCAAAGUCUAGCUCACGGUUUCAAAUAGUGCAGAGCCUUGAGUUUGCAAACUCUAGCCCUUUGUGUUGGCAGCUGGAUAAGGACAGGGGACACUAAUUUCUAUGAUGCAAUGCCUUGAUUUUGCAAGGGUUGAUAUGUUGUAUAACUUGUAUUCCCCAAGCAGCAAUUCCAUUGUUCACGAACUUGCCAGCUGGGAGCCUCAUUCGACCUUAAACUACAGGAGCUAAUCCAAACAUGGUUGUUGGGUGUAAACUCUAGUCCAUGGUCUCAAUCAUUGCUUGAAAACUUAAUCUAGACUUGUUAACUCCUUUUGCUGACACUAGUUCCUAGCUUAUUCCAUUGGUAUUUGGAGAAGGUAUGGCACUAAAUUCAGUCCAAGCAUUAGUUGAAUAUACUCUACGCCUGGGAACAAACAUUUCCCCGGAUGAGUGUAAAAUUACAUACUCCUUCCGUCCCAUAAUGUAAGACGUUUUUUGACGCUACACUAGAGUUAUCAGAUCAUAUGACUGAAUUUAAACAAGUCGAGAACUUACUAAAAAAUUUAAGCAGCAGGUGCUUCUGUGCUGGCCAAACUCGAAGCUUAAUUGUAUCUUGGUGAGUAUCCCCAUGUUCCUCCUCCUCUCCAUCACCCUCCUUGCAAUCACCUCCACUAUCAUAACCUCCAGAAACUGCUACAUCCACAUCCACCCCAUCCACAUUCCCAGUCUCAUCCUUUUCCUCAUCCGCAUCCAUAUCCUCGUCCUCAUCCUCAUCAUCCUCAUCCCUGUCCCAGUCCCAGUCCCCAUCCCCAAUCCCCGAGUACUCCUUGCACCCCAGCCUUCCCAAAAAGGACAUAGCACCACCUAGUGAUGGGAGGGCCCAGUCAUCUUCGCUGGAGCUGGAUUUCACCAUCCCAUAGUCGUCGAGGGGGAGGGACUGGUCGCCUUCGCUGGAACUGAAUUCCGCCGCUGCAUAGUAGUCCUCGGCCAUGUCCACUUCCAGCGCAGGCUCGCCGCCGUGGAAUAGCAGCCGCGCGAUGUCGAUGGUGUGGCCGUCUUGGACCACUGCCAGAUACAAAGCAGGCUCGCCGGCGAACUCUUGGUCGGGGUCAUCGGAGCCGCCCUCCACAGCUCGGGGUGGUGCAACAGGGGCAAGAGCUGCUAUUUGAAUCAGCGCCGAUCCAUAGGAUGAUCUCUUGUAGAGACGAACUUCGGUUGCCCCGCCGCCUGCUGACUCUGUCCACGAAGGAAUCUGUAUGCAACAACAAUAUACUGAGCAGAUACAGAACAUCUUAUUUCUGUUCGCUUCCUCAAAUCUGUAGACAACAGCACAUCAGACACAUGAAUUUCUUCUAGUGGACAGCAGCAUAUUACGGAGCAAUAUACAUGAGCAUUUACUAUCAAUCGUACAUAACAAACUACUGAAAGGAUAGCCAAAACUAUCUUUGCACGUGAACAGUGUAAAUAAAAGAAUAACUAUCACAUUUCCUAUACAGUUUUACUCCAUACAAUGAACUUUAUAAGGCGCAUUUUGGCCUGGCAUAUGAACUAAGAAACUUCCAAGACUGAGAAAGUCACCAAACAGAAUGACUAAAAUACCCUUAUAUUUACUGCUUUUAAAAGAUGCAAGAGAACGUGGUUGGUCCAUGCACAUAUUCUUAUAAAAUUAUAGUGAAAAAAAUAAUUCACAAAAAUAACAAAAUUAAUUAUGCAUGGAUGCCUUAUUAUUUUGGAAGACAGACCAGACUUUUAAUAUCUUCACCAAAAGUAAUUUGGUAAUAAUAAAAAAUAACCAACGAAAUGGCAAAGAGAGCAUUUAUCCACUUAUAGUAAGAAGCUAAAUUGACACAAGAGUGAAGAAAAAACUUCUCAAAACUAGAAGUACCUUAGUUGAAUCCAUAGGAAUGUCCACAUUAUAAAAACCCGCUGGCUCGUGGGAGAGAGGUGAGAGCCGAGAACUGGGGGCAGGGGGAACGCUUCCUCCCUGUAGAAUAUGAAGCAUUUGGAAGAUAUUAGGAACAGACAGCUAAAAAACAAAAUUAGAAGCCUCUGAGCAACUUAAUAAUAGCAUGAUCUUCUUUUUGCCGGAACAAUUAAUCUGCUGCUCAACAACAAUAUUUUAUGUAAUGUAUACGUAAUUACAUCUGAACCAUCAACAUACCAUAGCAUACAACAACAACAACAACAACAACAAAGCCUUUAGUCCCAAACAAGUUGGGGUAGGCUAGAGGUGAAACCCAUAAGAUCUCGCAACCAACUCAUGGCUCUGGCACAUGGAUAGCAAGCUUCCACGCACCCCUGUCCAUAGCUAGCUCUUUGUCGAUACUCCAAUCCUUCAGGUCUCUCUUAACGGACUCCUCCCAUGUCAAAAUCGGUCGACCCCGCCCUCUCUUGACAUUCUCCGCACGCUUUAGCCGUCCGCUAUGCACUGGAGCUUCUGGAGGCCUGCGCUGAAUAUGCCCAAACCAUCUCAAACGAUGUUGGACAAGCUUCUCCUCAAUUGGUGCUACCCCAACUCUAUCUCGUAUAUCAUCAUUCCGGACUCGAUCCUUCCUCGUGUGGCCACACAUCCAUCUCAACAUACGCAUCUCCGCCACACCUAACUGUUGAACAUGUCGCCUUUUAGUCGGCCAACACUCCGCGCCAUACAACAUUGCGGGUCGAACCGCCGUCCUGUAGAACUUGCCUUUUAGCUUUUGUGGCACUCUCUUGUCACAGAGAAUGCCAGAAGCUUGGCGCCACUUCAUCCAUCCGGCUUUGAUUCAAUGGUUCACAUCUUCAUCAAUACCCCCACCCUCCUGCAACAUUGACCCCAAAUACCGAAAUGUGUCCUUCCGAGGUACCACCUGGCCAUCAAGGCUAACCUCCUCCUCCUCACAGCUAGUAGUACUGAAACCGCACAUCAUGUACUCGGUUUUAGUUCUACUAAGCCUAAACCCUUUCGAUUCCAAGGUUUGUCUCCAUAACUCUAACUUCCUAUUUACCCCCGUCCGACUAUCGUCAACUAGCACCACAUCAUCCGCAAAGAGCAUACACCAUGGGAUAUCUCCUUGUAUACCCCUUGUGACCUCAUCCAUCACCAAUGCAAAAAGAUAAGGGCUCAAAGCUGACCCCUGAUGCAGUCCUAUCUUAAUCGGGAAGUCAUCGGUGUCGACAUCACUUGUUCGAACACUUGUCACAACAUUAUUGUACAUGUCCUUGAUGAGGGUAAUGUACUUUGCUGGGACUUUGUGUUUCUCCAAGGCCCACCACAUGACAUUUCGCGGUAUCUUAUCAUAGGCCUUCUCCAAGUCAAUGAACACCAUAUGCAAGUCCUUCUUAUGCUCCCUAUAUCUCUCCAUAAGUUGUCGUACCAAGAAAAUGGCUUCCAUGGUCGACCUCCCAGGCAUGAAACCAAACUGAUUUUUGGUCACGCUUGUCAUUCUUCUUAAGCGGUGCUCAAUGACUCUCUCCCAUAGCUUCAUUGUAUGGCUCAUCAGCUUAAUUCCACGGUAAUUAGUACAACUCUGAACAUCCCCCUUGUUCUUGAAGAUUGGUACUAAUAUACUCCGUCUCCAUUCUUCUGGCAUCUUGUUUGCCCGAAAAAUGAGGUUGAAAAGCUUGGUUAGCCAUACUAUCGAUACGUCCCCGAGACCUUUCCACACCUCAAUGGGGAUACAAUCAGGGCCCAUCGCCUUGCCUCCUUUCAUCCUUUUUAAAGCCUCCUUCACCUCAGACUCCUGGAUGCGCCGCACAAAACGCAUGCUGGUCUCAUCAAAGGAGUCAUUCAGUUCAAUGGUAGAACUCUCAUUCUCCCCAUUGAACAGCUCGUCGAAGUACUCCCGCCAUCUAUGCUUAAUCUCUUCGUCCUUCACCAAGAGUUGGCCUGCUCCGUCCUUGAUGCAUUUGACUUGGCCAAUAUCCCUCGUCUUCCUCUCCCAGAUCUUAGCCAUCUUAUAGAUGUCCCUUUCACCUUCCUUCGUGCCUAACCGUUGGUAGAGGUCCUCAUAUGCCCGACCCCUUGCUUCACCAACAGCUCGCUUUGCGGCCUUCUUCGCCAUCUUGUACUUCUCUAUGUUGUCUGCACUCCUAUCCAGGUAUAGGCGUCUGAAGCAAUCUUUCUUCUCUUUAAGCGCCUUCUGGACAUCAUCAUUCCACCACCAGGUAUCCUUAUCUUCACUUCUCCUUCCCCUGGACACUCCAAACUCCUCCGAGGCCACCUUACGAAUGCAAGUCGCCAUCUUCAUCCACACAUUGUCCGCAUCCCCUCCUUCCUCCCAAGGGCCCUCCUUAAAUACCCUCUCCUUGAACACCUGAGCUACCUCCCCCUUGAGCUUCCACCACUUCGUUCUAGCGACCUUGGCACGCUUAUCCCGCUGGACACGAAUCCGAAAGCGGAAGUCAGCAACCACCAGCUUAUGCUGGGGUACAACACUCUCCCCAGGUAUCACCUUACAGUCUAGGCACGCACGCCUAUCUUCUCUUCUCGAGAGGAUGAAAUCAAUCUGGCUAGAGUGUUGGCCACUACUAAAAGUCACCAAAUGUGAUUCUCUCUUUCUAAAGAGGGUGUUAGCUACAAUCAUGUUGUAGGCUAGAGCAAAGCUUAAGACAUCUUCUCCUUCUUGAUUCCUGAUGCCAUAGCCAAAGCCCCCAUGCGCCCCUUCAAAACCUGUGUUAGAUGUACCCACGUGGCCAUUGAGGUCUCCUCCUAUGAAGAGCUUCUCACCAAUCGGUACACUCCUAACCAUGUCUUCCAAGCCUUCCCAGAACUCCCUCUUGGUGUUCUCAUUGUGGCCUACUUGCGGGGCAUAUGCGCUGAUAACAUUGAGAACCAAGUCCUCAGCUACCAGCUUGACCAGGAUAAUCCGGUCCCCACGUCUCCUGACGUCUACCACUCCAUACUUGAGGCUCUUGUUGAUCAAGAUGCCUACGCCAUUUCUGUUUGCAGCCAUCCCCGUGUACCACAGCUUGAAGCCGGUAUCCUCCACCUCCUUCGCCUUCUGUCCUCUCCAUUUGGUUUCUUGGACGCAAAGGAUAUCAACACCUCUCCUCACUGCUGCAUCAACUAGCUCCCGAAGCUUCCCUGUCAGAGACCCUACGUUCCAGCUACCUAAGCGAAUCCUCCUAGGCUCGGCUAGCUUCCUUACCCUUCGCACUCGUCGAGUCAAAUCAGAUGAAAGAAUCUAACGAUUGAAAGAGACCAAAAGCUUUGAUGGGAGCAAAGAUAGUUACUUGCUGCAUGCCUGCGCAGUUACUUGAUAUUAGAACUUGAGACUGGUUUUGGCAUUAGAUACCCGGUAAUCAGUAAAUAUGCACGACAAAAAAUAUAAAAUAUUUUGGCGUGCUAGUAUGUUACUGAGCAUUGCCUGCCAAUGCAUAUAUGCUUCCAUGGGCAUGUGCAUAGGCACUUUAAGUUUUGCAUACGAUCAACACAACGGGGCGUGUUUAAGUUGACUACACUCAAAUGUGGUCUUAUUACAUCAGCUCAAUGACAUCACCAAGAAAUUAACCUACGUGUUCUAUGCGAUGACAAGCGACAUCACAAGUUGGGUUAGCUAAACUAAUAGGCUAGUGUUUCACUGUAGUUUGUCUAUAUAUACACACAUGAAUGUAGCUUUGACAUCAUUUGUUCUGACUUCUAGCGCUGCCACUGCCGGGUGGUACAAAACACCUUGCGACAUGUACAGUUCAAUUUUUGGAAAUUUCCACCUAGAGCCCUAGAAUUUGAGAAAUCUCGGACUUACGAUUUUUAUCCAUGAGCUAUCUAUACAAUGGCACUGGUAUCAUUAACCAUGUACUAACAUACAUUUACCUUGUAGCACAUUGGUGCAUGGAAACCACUUGAAUUACUGAACUCAAAGCAUUGGAUCUAUAAUUAAAGAUGUCCCAAAAUGCCCAAGGAAAGCAUCAUCAUAAUGCAUUUCCAGAACCAGCAACAAGUGCUCAUCCUCUCUACAUGACAAACACUACCAGAAAAGUUGGACAUUCACCAUACAUAAUAUUCAAGUCCCUGAUGUUAAACAUAUCAUACAGUAGUAGCCAAGCUCCGACAACUUCGCACUUGUAUUCAUCAACUAAUUAACAAGCAAACCAAGUCAUAUAAGACCGGUACCAUACACACCAUAUUGUGUUGGCCUGCUACGACAGCAAAUCUCAAGUUCCAGCAACCAAGCUACAUUUUAGUUCACGCAUCGCGCUUCCAAUCACCUAGCACAGCUACUAAUCAUCCACUGGGCAGCCUAGUUCAUCACACGAGCACAAAUCCAGAGCUAACCAACCAUUUCCAGAGCAAUUAGCGGACACAACUACCAAAGCGUAAUCCCCAACUCGAAGCGCACAAAUCGGCACCUCCCCAUCGCAUCCCCAUCCCGCGUUCGGAGCCUCAGAUCCAAGCAACGCCAGCCCCAAAUACGAGCACAGCCCACGCGAACCAGACCGGUUUAAGAAAAUAAAGGGAUCCCGAGAUCUACGCAUACGGGGGAAGUAUCCCGAGGGCUGUUGCCGACGAGUGAAGCAGGGAUGGAGGACUCACGGCGAAGGGGUUGACGUCGUCGUCCUCGAAGUCGUUGCGGCCCGCCAUGGGUCCGGCCUCCUCCUUCUCCGACAGCGGCCAUGGACGUCGCGGGGGCGACGAAUGUGGGCGGUUGACGUCGCCGUCCUCGAAUCCGUCUUGGCCCGCCAUGGGUCCGGCCUCCUCCUUCUUCGAAGGCGGCGAUGGACGACGCGGUGGCGGCGACUGCAGGCGGUUGACGUCGUCGUCCUCGAAUCCGUCGCGGCCAGCCAUGGGUCCGGGUCCGGCCUCCUCCUUCUCCGGCGGCAGCGACGGACGACGCGGUGGCGACGACAAAGGGAGGUUGAAGUCGUCGUCCUCGAAUCCGUCGCGGCCCGCCAUAGGUCCGGCCUCCUCCUUCUCCGAAGGCGGCGAUGGACGACGCAGGCGGCGGGCGGCGUGCUCGCCCCCUCCCUCUCUACUCGCGUUGUGAGACGGGGUGGCUGCGCGAGAGGUAAUCGCUAGCAGGUGGGGCCCGCUGAGGCCGCCAGGUGGGGCCAGGAAUGCGAGACGCCAACCUGGCGGAGUGGACUGGCGGUGCGAGGCUGAAGGUCUACUUGUGGUCAAACCUGCCUAGAUGGCCCGGCACGGCCAGGCACGCCACACGGGCCCCCCUGCCUAGCCGAUGCACGGGCCCCAUAUUACACGCGCCGGCAUGGCCGGCCCACUUGGCCUGCGUGGCACAUUUCGCCCAAAUACCUCCAAAAAAUACUGGAAAUUUGAAAUUUUCGGAAAAAGAGAAAAAUAUAAAAAAUGAAAAAUGAGGCAAAGUAUCUUGUAGGAUAAAUAUGCUUUACUAGUGGCUGCCUCAAAAAACCAAGGAAACGAAAAUUACAAAAGAAAAAGAAAAAUUACAAAGGCACAACUACACGACAUGUUUCCCCACAGUCUCCUUGUCCUUUUUUAUGUGUGCCAAUUUGUGCCUAAGCAGGUGGUCGGUUCCUCUGCGCCCUUUCCCAUAGUGGGCAACAAGUUCCCGCAUAUAUUGCACUUAGCUUUAGGCACGUUGACACAGCCCUCCACAACUAUUUCUUCAGCGAAGUAGUCCCAGCAAUUCAAGAUUUUGCGAUGAACACGUGCAUAAAGUUGGAAUAGGUUGGGACUAUCCAUGUUUGCGUGUAGGAAAUGAGAUGAGAUUUGAGUGUGAGAAAUGAGAGAAGUGGGCAGCCCUUUUUAUAGCAAAAAUCUGGUAUUUUUACAUGGGUCAACACGGUGACACAUUAGGCACGGCCAUCACACUCGGCCGCAUGGCCCACCGAGGCAAGUUCGCCUCAAGUAUCUCCAAAAAAACAUAAAAUUGGAAAAUGACAAAAAAUACAAAAAAUGAUAAAUGAAGCAAAGUAUCAUCAUGUGGAAUAGAUCUGGGGCUUUAUUAGUGGUUGUCUCAUUAAAAUCUUCCAUCAAAUACCUCCAAAAAAUACUUUGCCUCACUUGGCCUGCGUGGCACAUUUCGCUCAAAUACUCCAAAAAAUACUGGAAAUUUUAAAAAAUUCGGAAAAAGAAAAAUUUAAAGAAAAAAAUAAAAAAUGAAAAAUAAGGCAAAGUAUCUUGUAGGAUAAAUAUGCUUUACUAGUGGCUGCCUCAAAAAAACCAAAGAAACGAAAAUUACAAAGGCACGAUUACACGACAUGUUUCCCCAUAGUCGCCUUGUCCUUCUUUAGAGCAUCUCCAAUAGACGGUUCAAAUGUAAAAGUAACUAACUUUUGGACCGUCUAAGGCCAAAAACGCAAUUUCAACAGACGGUCUAUAUGUAAAAAAAAUUGGACCGCGGCCUCCUCGUGAUGUAAAAUACAACACCUCGCGGUGCAAAUUUACAUCACGAGGUGCAUCUGGUCCAAAACCAGCCGCCACCCGCGAACGCCCAACCGCCAGUUCCUUUCCUUUGUCGCCCGCCCGCCCGCGACCUUUCGCCCGCCCGCCGCCGCCCCUCCGCACGCCGCCUGCAUCAGAUCCAGCCCCGCCCCCCGCCGUUGUUUCCACGCCGCCCGCCCGCCGCGGAUCCGGCCGCUGCCGCCGCGCCCGNNNNNNNNNNNNNNNNNNNNNNNNNNNNNNNNNNNNNNNNNNNNNNNNNNNNNNNNNNNNNNNNNNNNNNNNNNNNNNNNNNNNNNNNNNNNNNNNNNNNNNNNNNNNNNNNNNNNNNNNNNNNNNNNNNNNNNNNNNNNNNNNNNNNNNNNNNNNNNNNNNNNNNNNNNNNNNNNNNNNNNNNNNNNNNNNNNNNNNNNNNNNNNNNNNNNNNNNNNNNNNNNCACCGCCCCGCACGCCGCCGCCGCCCCGCAGCUCCGCCCCGCCCGGCUCCGUCCGCCACCACCCCGGCCGCACGCCACCGCCGCUCCACCACUCUCACCGCUCUCCGAUGGUGCCGAAGAAGACGCCGAAGGGCAAGUCGGGCUUCUUCGGCGUGAGGCAGAAGCCCUCCGGUAACUUCGGAGUGGAGUUCUCCGACGUCGGAAGGCGUUGGUGGAUCGGCACGUACCCCUCCGCCCACGAGGCCGUGCGUGCCUACGACGUGGUGGUGUGGCGUGCCGAGAGGCCUCGAGAGCACCUCAACUUCCCAGAGAUCGAGAGUCGGGCGGAAGCGGAGAUGCUUGUGCCGCAGGGCAUCAAGAUGAAGGAGAUCCCGACGAAGAAGAAGAAGAAGAAGAAGAAGCCGUCAGUUGUCGUCAGUGCCGGUGAGACCUACGAGGAGGCGAUGGCGAGGUUUGCUCGGGAGCAUCCGGAGUACGUCUAGACUGAGCUGGAGUACUACUGGAAGCGUGAGGCGGAGCAGAAGAAGAAGGGGCGAAGAAGGAGGACGAGGCCGGUCCCUCGACGGUGAUCCCCAUCGAGUCCUCUUCCGAGGAGGGCUGGGCAAACUUCUCGGAAGGGGAGGAGGAGGGGUGCGACGACCCGGAGAAGGAGGAGUUCUUAGGUGCAGUUCCGCAGCUCCGACGAUGAGGAGUAGUUUAUCUAGUAGUUUGAAUAAGUAGUAGUUGAAGUUCAUGUAUGAAACUAUGUUGAAUUUGAUGUUUGAACUAUGUUGAAUGCACUAGUAGUUUGUCAUUUUAAGAAAUUUACAUCUUCAUUUUGAAUCAUCCAUUGGAGUUGUUGUUUUGGACCAUCCAUUUGGACCAUCUGUUGGAGUUGAGUUUUUUCGGAGCUUCAAAACGCACUUUUUGACGGUUCAAAUUUUACAUCUCCAGUUUUAGACCACCAAAUUUUGAACAAUCUAUCGAAGAUGCUCUUAACUAAUUCAAAGCUUAGUACAUGAAGUACACCCCUAGCAAUCAUACGCCCAAACUUAUCUAAUUCAAAACAGACCGGCCUUGCUAUAUCAUGGGAUAGAAGGCGUGAUCCACACCGGCCGGGCCGAUAACCUACGGUAGUGGUGCCCGAGCGCCUUCAUCUUCUUUACCGUGCCAUCCUAGAGGCAGUACAUCUCGACGGCCCGAGCGUCAGACUCGUCAGCCCAUAAGUCCUUGGGCUCGCUAAGCGCGGCGACCCUCGGUUUUGACCCUAAGAACAGCAUAUCCCGAAGAGAAAAGGAGAGAACACAUUGUAUAGUUCUCAGCCUUCUUACCUGUUGCUAGGAAGAUUCUUAACAGGGAGUCUCUCUUUUACUUUGGUGGUAAAUCAAUGCAAACAUUGUUGGAGGUAGCUCAGUUUUACUGUAGCAUUUUGGCAAAAUGAUUUUGCGCAUGAAUAGCUAAAAAAUGGUGCACGUACGCAUCUGCGAUGUUUGUAAAAUUGUACCCUGCUAGCGAUCAUACGCGAAAACUUAGCUAAUUCGAAACAGAUCGACCUUGCUAUAUCAUGAAAUAGAAGGCGUGAUCCACACCGGUGGUGCCGACAAUGUACGGUAGUGAUGCCCGAGGGCCUCCAUCUUCUUUACUGUGCCAUCCUUGAGGCGGUACACCCCAACGGCCCGAGCGUCGGACUCGUCAGCCCAUAAGUCCAUGGGCUUGCCAAGUGCGGCGGCGACCCUCGGUUCGUCGUCAGUGAAGUAGAUGCAGCCAGCCUUGAUAUCUGAGCGCUCACUUGUUGGCACGCACAACGAGUUGUUCACCCCGACGAACAACGCGAGGUUGCCAAUGUCCCUCGUCUCCUUCCACUGCCCGUCAUCACCGAUGACAUGCACCUUGAAGGAGCACGUCCACCUAUACCGGCCGUACAGAUCCUUGCCCUUGGUCAUCUGGGCGUACUUGAGCACCACCAUCAACCGCCCACCCGGCGCCAUCGCCAGGUACUUGCGAUGGCACGGCGAGCCGCCUUCCUCAAUGGCCAGCCUUGGCGUGACAGCCGUGCUCGUGUAACCGCCAGACUCAGUGUCACGUUUGCCACACCUCCACCAUGCCGGAAUAGGAGACGGAGAGGAACCAACCGUUGUGGUGGAUAGCGUCCUCCACGCCGUCGAGCGACGGCGCCAGCAUCCAGGCAGCGUCCUCCGCCGUGGCUAAGGCCGGGGCGCCGAAAUCCAGGUCCAGGAUCAGCAUGGCCGUACCAUAGCUGCCUGGGCGACGCGGGGAGGCCGGCAAGAGGACAACCUUCCGGUAGAACGGCGUACGCAUUUCGUCGGCGGUCAACACGUGCGCCCCGUACACCAGACGCCUCGAUGAAUCACUAAUGAACGACGGCCCUAAGCCGAAUCGAAUGGCCAUGAAGCGCCAUAUGUCCACCAUGAACCCCUCGUAGGGCGUGCGGAGGAAGACGCCCAUGGUGGUGAUGUCCGGGAGCGCGUGCUGCUCGCCGGUGGCGGGGUUGACGAGAUAGAUCUGGCCUCGGUCGUCGGCCGUGGCGAGCCAUCCACGGGAGGAGCCGAGGACGAUGUGGUCGUCGCGCAGCGCAGGGUACGGCGCACGCACCGUGGCUGUGCGCCGAUCGGCGACGGAGAAGAGCGUAGCGGCCGCCGGGUUCUCCUCGUUCUUGCCGGGGAGGAGGAGCCACGGGGCCGACGGCUUGAAUACGUCGUCGUCGUCGCAGGAUGCGGCGAAGGCAAUGCGGUCGAGGAAUCCCAGGCGAUCGUGGAUGUCCGCCAGCAGCUCCGGCAGGAGGCUGGGCCAGUGUCUUGGAACGUCGGCAUCGACCUUGGCGGCGAUCGGUUUCCUAGCGGGGGCGGCCUUCUUUCGCCUGGCGGCGGCGCCCUUGCUUCUGCCCAUUGGCACGUACUCCUACUCCUACAGAUCGAUUGGAGGUGGGGACUGAUUUGCUUUUAAUGAAAAAAAGAAAUAAAAUACACCUCCGACGAACAAUGGUAGAGCCACGGGCUUUUUUUCACAGGACUUCAUCGGGGGAGGGAAUGGGCCAGGGCCUCCCGGUGAGAUUAGCCCAACUCCAACACGCCGAAAUUAAUUUUCAGAAAUAUUACAUCAAAAUUAUUUUUCAAAAAUAAUACAUUUUUUAGGGGGAACCAGACACUUUAUUGAACAAUAAGAGAGUUCAGAGGGAUACAAGAUGGAUCAUGAGGGGAUAGAAGCCACAUGUGGCGCCCCUGAUCAAGUGUAAGAGUGUCUGGCAAGGCAAAGCGCCUCACUAAUAGCUGAUCUACUUUCAGAAAUAAAGCUAUAGCUAUCAAAAAUAGAACUUGUGAGAAAUUUCUUUGAUCACCGACAGGUAACCUCCUCCAGUUCCUCUUUGGAUAUCUGAUAUCAAUCCUUUGCAGUCCGAAGCCACCACCACCUUCUGCACGUGUAAGCCUUGAGCUAAGGCCAACGCUUCCCGGCAUGCCACUGCUUCCAGUAUACUUAGAUCAACAUUACUGGAGAUGACCAACGCGGAGGAGCCCAAAUAAUGUCCCAAAUGAUCUCGGCAAACUGCAGCUGCCGCCCCUUUCCCUAGCUCCUGGUCAAUACAUCCCUUCACCUGGAUUUUCGCGUGACCCUUAGGCGGAGGUUGCCAUACACCACUCGGGAUAGCGGUACGCCUUGUGCUGGGUGACGAUGCAGUUUUUGACAAUACUUCUAUACUCUUGAGCUCCUAGAUAAAACGUGAACGAAUCCAUGCGUUGCUAGCGGGCUCUGAUAAACUUCCUCAUGAAUGGCCUUCCUCCUCGCCGUCCAAACUGCCCAAAGUGUCACGGAUGCUUCCACGAACUGGGCAUGUGAUAAUGACUUCUAAAUCUGGAAUAGCCACUGUUUGGCAUUCGGUUCCACUGUUUCCAUCAUGGUUUCGACCAAGGUUUCAUCUGCUAGUGCCCAUACGCACUGUGCCAUUGAGCAUUCAAUCAAAGAGUGUCUCCACGAAUCAAUGUUACCACAUAAGUGGAAGUUGUCCACAAUACUCAUGUUUCUGUGUUGCCGCACGUCCUCUGUUGGCAGAGAUUGCCUAGCAAGCCUCCACAAGAACGAUUUGAUUUUCGACGACACUUUUGUCUGCCAUAAUGAGGACCACCCCUUCUCAUCCAGAGUAUUAUCCGAUGUUGAUGCUCUUCCACUCAGCAGAUCUUCUCCCCUUCUCUUCAUUUCCCAUAGCAUCCGAUAUGUUGAUCUUACCGAAAAAACUCCCCUCGUCUUGAACUGCCAAGAUCAAAAAUCUGCCAUUAACCGUGUGCACAAAGGAAUAUUUUGGAUUGCUUUCACAUCGGCCGGGAGGAAAAACUGGGAUAAAACUUCAGCUCUCCAGGACACUAAAACUGGGUCAACUAGCUCCGCCACCACAGAAGGUGGGUUUUGGCCUAUGCAAGCAAUUGGCCUCAUCGGAUGAUCACGCGGGAUCCAGUUCUGCGACCAUAUCUGUGUGGUAGUACCAUCACCAAUCCUCUUAAUCAAGCCCAUGGACAAAGCAUCUCUUCCCUCCACCAGUGAUCGCCAUACUUGACUCGGAUGAGGCCCCAAGACCGCAUUUAAGAUGUCGCCUUCUGGGAAGUAGAUAGCUUUCAGAAGUUGAGCACACACUGAGUCAGGAACUGUUAAGAUCCUCCAAGCUUGGCGUGCCAAUAAUGCUAGGUUGAAUAACUCAAGGUCUUUAAAACCUAAACCUCUGCAUCUCUUCGGUUGUGUCAUGGCCUUCCACGAUACCCAAUGGGGUUUCCGCUGCCCCUCCUUGCUGCCCCAGAAAAAUUGUCUAAUGAGUUUAUUUAGAUGUUCACAUAAACCCUGUGGCAGUUUGAAACAAGACAUGGAGAAAAACGGAACCGCUUGGGCCACUGACUUGAUCAAAAUCUCCUUGCCCGCAGCAAAGAUCGCUUUCUCAAUCCAACCUUUCACUUUGCUCCAAAGUCUAUCCUUUAGAUAUUUGAAAGCCCAUGUUUUCUAUGUUCCUAUAUCAUACGGCAGCCCCAAGUAUUUCUCAUUUAAAGUUUCUGUAUGUACCCUAAGGAUGCCUUUUACCUCUUCUCUAACCACCUCCGAACACCCUUUACUGAAGAAAACAGAUGACUUACUAUUGUUGAUCCUUUGCCCUGACGUAAACCCGGGCAUGGGCAGCCCGGCCCGACGACCCGGCCCGAGCCCGGCCCGAAAAACCCGGGCCGGGCCGGGCCGGGCUUGACGUUCGGGCCGGGCUCGGGCCUAGUNNNNNNNNNNNNNNNNNNNNNNNNNNNNNNNNNNNNNNNNNNNNNNNNNNNNNNNNNNNNNNNNNNNNNNNNNNNNNNNNNNNNNNNNNNNNNNNNNNNNNNNNNNNNNNNNNNNNNNNNNNNNNNNNNNNNNNNNNNNNNNNNNNNNNNNNNNNNNNNNNNNNNNNNNNNNNNNNNNNNNNNNNNNNNNNNNNNNNNNNNNNNNNNNNNNNNNNNNNNNNNNNNNNNNNNNNNNNNNNNNNNNNNNNNNNNNNNNNNNNNNNNNNNNNNNNNNNNNNNNNNNNNNNNNNNNNNNNNNNNNNNNNNNNNNNNNNNNNNNNNNNNNNNNNNNNNNNNNNNNNNNNNNNNNNNNNNNNNNNNNNNNNNNNNNNNNNNNNNNNNNNNNNNNNNNNNNNNNNNNNNNNNNNNNNNNNNNNNNNNNNNNNCCUAGUUUUGCAGCCCGGAAGAUAGUUCGGGCCGGGCUCGGGCUUCAUUUUUUAUGUAUUUCGGGCCGGGCUUUCGGACUUCGGGCCGGGCUUGCACGUGCGUACACUAAAAAACAGCGUUCGGGCCGGGCUUUCGGGCUUCGGGCUUGACUUCGGGCCGGGCUCGGGCUUGAAAACAGGGAGUAUUUCGGGCUUCGGGCCGGGCUCGGGCUUGGGAAAUGAAGGUCGGGCUUUUAUAAGCCCGGCCCGAAACCCGGCCCGGCCCGACGUUUGCCCGGGUUUACCCUGACGCUUGGCAAUAUGAAUUCAGUAAGUUUGACACCUUUGUCGCCCCCGCACCGUUCGCCUUGAAGAACAGCAGACUAUCAUCAGCAAAUAAAGAGAUGGUUAACUGGAGGCGCCGAGGGGGCCACCUGGAUUCCACCAACAUGCGAUGACUGAUAUCUAGAUUUGAGGAGGCCUGAAAGGCCCUCUGCUGCUAACAAGAAAAGGUAGGGUGAUAUUGGGUCUCCCUGCCGAAUACCUCUCGUAGGUUUAAAUUCCUCCAACUUUCUCCCAUUGAAAAUGACUGGAAAAGAAACUGAUCUUACCAUUCCCAUAAUUCUAUUGACCCAAACUGUUGAGAAGCCCAGUUUGAGCAUUACCGCUUCCAAAUAUUCCCAUUCAACUCUAUCAUAUGCCUUCAUCAUGUCUAAUUUCAAAGCACAAUGACGAUGUUUCAGAGCCUUGUUUCUUUUCAUAAAGUGCAGACAUUCAUAUGCCAUGAUGAUAUUGUUUGUAAUGAGCCUACCAGGGACAAAGGCCGAUUGCUCCGGUGAUAUUAUCUCUGGCAAUAUCUCCUUGAGGCGGUUAGUAAUGACUUUUGAAGCAAUCUUAUAUAGAACAUUACAAAGACUUAUCGGACGAAAUUGAGAUAAAGAUGUCGGGCUCUUCACCUUUGGUAUAAGAACUAGACAUGUCUUAUUGAUGCACUCGUCACUUUCUACUCCCUCCACAAUUCGGAUAACAGUUUUGGUAACUUCCUCACCACAAACAUCCUAGUGCUUCUGAAAAAAAUGAGCUGUGUACCCAUCCGGACCAGGUGCUUUGGAUGGAAACAUUUGAAAAAGAGCCCUUUUGACUUCCUCCCCCGUAUAAGAUGCAUUUAGGGUUUCAUUCAAAAAUAAUACAUAGUCGUCCAUAUCCUUUUGAGUCUAAACGGACAGAAAACACGGCCUAGCGAGCCAACACAAUGGGAUGGCUGUCCGUUUUCUUGUCCUAUUAGACAUAUUUUUGGCCCAAAUUUAAGACUGAUUUACACCAGUGCAGAGGGAGCUCCUAUACGCCGCCCGUGUGCGUCCGAUCAUUGCGACUUCGCUGAAGCGACGAGCACACAGGCAGGCCCAAUCAUGCCAUGUGAGUGAAAAUCGAAAAAGGAAGAAGCGCAUGCGCGGGAUCGAACCUCCGACCUCAUGCAAGAAUCCAGUGAGGCUAGCCAGCCGAACUAGCUACCUCGACUCUUUUAGAUGCAUCGCCAAUCUUAAGCGGCAAAUCCUUAAAAAAGGAUGUUCAACAGAUUUAUAAUAUGCGUUGAAGAAAUUUUAAAAUAUAGUGAACGUUUUUAUAAAAAAAUAGUGAACAAAUAUAAAAUACUAAAAUGGACAUUUUAUCGGUAUAUGUUGAACAAUUUUUUAAUAUAUGAUGAACAAAACUUAAAUACACAAUGAACAUUUUCUAAUAUACAUUGAAAAAAUUAAUAAUGUACAAUGAAAAUUUUUGUAAUACACAAUGAACAUUUUCAAAUAUACGUUGAACAAUUUAAUAAUAUACAAUGAACAUUUUUGUAAUACACAAUGAACAUUUUCUAAUAUACGUUGAACAAUUCAAUAAUAUACAAUGAUUUAUUUUUGUAAUAAACAAUGAACAUUUUUACAGUGCAGGGUGAACUAUUUCAUAAUAUACGAUGAGCAUUUUCUUAAUACAUUGACAAUUUUUGUAACACAUGGCAAACUUUCUCUACAAAUACGCAAUAAUGAGAAGAAGAACAGAAACAGAAAAUAAAAAUAAUAAAUGUAAAAGAAAGAAAAUGAAAGGAAAAAGAAAUCAAACAGAAAAAUAAAAAAUCGGAACAAAACAACUGAACACCGGCCAAAAUCUGUGAAAAAAACUGGAAGUAAAAAACCAUACAAGAAAAACGAAAAAAAAACCCCGCAAGAAACAAAGAAAAUAGCAGCGAAUGAAAUCCGUCCGUGGUUCGGCCCAAGUGGCUACUUGCUUCAGAGAAGGCUCGUCCUUUUUACGCCUUCAGAGAAUCCUACUUCCUCUGGCCAGCCCGUCUAUGGCACACGCAGGCGCCUUUCCCCCAAACCCUAUAUGGCGCCUUAAGCGCCAGUUAGUUCUUUUAGCAAACUGUCGCACAUACCCCCUCUUAUCUGAGCCGGCUCAUUCACCUUUUCUUUUAUAUUUUAAAGUAUGAUUCGAACUGUGUACCUCCAAGUUUUAGUACCAAACGGAUGACUAGGUGGUACGGCCGACCUUUUGUGCCUAGGUUGCUUUUUUCUUUUUCUUUUCAAUGUUAAAAAUACACAGCGGUUUUCUGUUUGGUGUUAUUUUAAUUUUCAUUUUUUUGUUUGCCAGUUUUUCUUCUAUAUUUUACUUUUCUACUUCUAUUUCUUUUUUGUUUUCCUUUUUUUAAUUUGUGCACUUUCUUUCAACCUGAUGAGCCCUUUUUUAAAAACUGAUGAAUAAUUUUUUAAAUUUGUGAAUAUUUUUCAAAAUCAAUGAACUUUUACUUCAAAAUCCAUGAUUUUUUUAAGAUUUUGACUUUUUUAAAAAAUUGAUGAUUAUUUUUCAAAAAAUUAGAUUUUUUUUCAAGUAUUUGGGAUUUUGGUUAUUUUCCUUCUUUUUUCCUAUCUUCCCUUUUCCUGAUUUUCCCUUUUUCUUGUUUUAAAAAUUUUAUUUUCUAUUUUAACAUUUUGGUCACGAACAUUUUCUAAAAUUCAAUAUUUUUUAAAAUUUAUGAACAUUUUUAAGUCCGUGUUAAACUGUGAAACCUUUUUUUUUUUGAAAUUCGUGAACAAUGUUUGGGAUCCACGAAUAUUUUUUAAAUUCAUGAACAUUGUAAAAAUCCAUUAAGAUCUUUUGAUUUAACAAAAUUUCGCAAAUAAGAAAAUUUAUAGCUGUUUUUUUCCUGAGCUUGCACUGGAGCGAGUGAAAAACACUAAGGAAGUCGAGCUGAGCGAGCGAGAGCUUCCUGGGCCACCUAGUAUAUAAGCAAUUUCAAGGUGUCGGUGUGGAAUAGGAGCUCUGAGUGGGUUCACACAAUCAACACGAGUUGUGGAAACGUGUAAAAGACACCACAAUCAUGCAACGAACAACUCCAGUCUCCUCUCAGAAUAAAAAUCGUCUCCAGCACCCACAGCCCAACAUGAUAUAUGAGCGGAAAAAAAAACAUCAUCGGAACAUCAUUAAAACCCAAGCUAGCGCAGAUAAAACCAAACAAAACAACCGCAGUAAUCUACUAAAGAAAAAAAGAGUUAAUCCCAUGAGUGAAAGCAACACGGCUGAAGAAUGUGUUAGCCUCUAUACUAUACUCCAUUCCUAAAAAGUAGCAUCCCAUUUUGAAAUUUUCUUACAUUCUGUUGAUGCAAUCAUUACCCCCACAGUUUUCUAUCCCACCACUCGCCAACGAACUUUUUCUUCCAAAUGAAUACCAUCCGGUCGCUUACAAUCUUCUCCAUGCUUGCUUAUAAUUUAUUGUGUUUGAUUAUUGCAUAGUUGUAAAAUAUUAAUUAAAUACAAAUAACAUAAUAGAAUGGAAAUUCUCAUAUAUGUUUGCAUUGUUUGUAGGACAUGCAUGUUUGCAUCUUGAUGUGGGUUUUUUCCAUGUAUGUUGCAUGAUGAAGUGGUGUGCUUGCUUGUUGAAAGAAAUAUGUUAGUAGGGGCUAGCUAUUUAGAUAUGAAUGAACCAAGAAGCACCCAUCUAUUAUAGCUUCACUAAUUUUCGAGUACUGUCAACCCUUGCUUUUUCGUAGGGUUUAGCUUGCCAUUAACUCACCUUGAUUGAUUUUGGUAGCUAGAACCGGCACUAGCUCACAGGCGGCAACAUUAAGCUCCCGCGCAACCAGUGGCGGUGGCAGAAAUGCCUAAAAUUUGAUGUUGAGGUGGGGGUAGGGAACAGUAAAAAAAAUCCACUAUUCAUAUGCAUGAUAGCAGGAAAAUCAGGACGUGGGGGAGGGCCAGGCCCCUGCGGGCAACCCCCUGCCCCCGCCACUGCGGGCAAUUAACAUAGUGCCAUGGUCGUGGAGAUGCAACAUAGGGAGAGGGAGUUCGAGGGAGACGACCCUCGGGCGGCGACACCAUCAGGACGUGAAAGGGACGCUCGGGAGCUGGGCGACACUGGCAUAUUUAGUUGUAGGUGUACAUGUCGUAUUUACGGCAACAAUUCACAUUUUUUUCAACACAUCAACUAUAAUGUUUUUUUGCGAAACACAUCAACUAUAAUGUUAUACAUAAUAGAAUAGCUAAAAUAGAACUAUAAAGAGAAAAUUGACAAAUGUAUAGCUAUAUGAAAUGGUGAUAUUUUUCUAUAAGUGUAACCGAAGUUAAUUAAGUUCGACUUAAAUAAACAUAAUAUAACACGUGUGCCAAGGAAAGAAACUCAAGUAGUGGCGUGAGGCGAUUGUCUGUAUAUAUAUGGAGAGAGGUGUGUAUGUUAUGAUUAUUCUUUUGUGUUACAGUGAUUGUUCCAUUUAAAAUUUGUUAUUCCAUGACAACGCCCGAGCAUUCAACUAGUGUAUAUAGAAGGACUAUGUUUGUCAGGCUACGGAGCAACGGAGAUUACAUACUACCUCCAUGCCAAACUAUAAGGCGUACAUUUCUGAACUGUUUAUCAUUCACUGUGAGUGCAUGUCAUGAAAGCUCGCGUGAUGGCCAGAUCCACAAGAGAGUUGACUCCCAUCUCAGAUUCAGGUCGUGUUUUCUAGAAAAAGAAAACAUCCAGAUCAUCUGUGUGGGCAGUACUUACGUAUGUAUGAUAGUAGAAUAAAUAUUUACUUUCGGAAAACGAAACAUCAAAGGGCAUUUGGUCUAGUGGUAUGAUUCUCGCUUAGGGUGCGAGAGGUCCCGAGUUCAAUUCUCGGAAUGCCCCAUUUUUUCUCUUGUUUUGUUCUUUUUACCAGAAAAAAAAGAAUUCCUUUUAGAUGCCCCUGGUUCCUCUAUUUGUUGUUCUUUUUAUCCCAAAGAAAACGAAUUCCCUUUUAGAUGCCAUGAAAAACAAUUUGUGUCAGGUCAUAUUUGCAUUCAGAUAUGCAUUACGGCUUGGGCAAGUGUGCAUGUGCGGAGUAGUAGCUGGAGCGUUCUUGCACGCAGCUGGCGACGCACACAGAAACCAAGCGAGACGUGAGGGAGUGCAAAUUGUAAAGGCUUCUUUGGAUCACAGAAUUAGAAAACAAAGGAAUUCAAAAAACACAGGAAUUUGACGGGAUUGUAGGUGCAAAAUAAAGGAUUACAAAAUAGAGGAAAACUAUAAGAAUGGUCAUUUGGAUGGAACACAGGAAAAACACAGGAAAAGUGCCUCGAUCUUACGCGAAUCAGUGUAAAAAAGAGGUUAUAGUGGAUGUUAAAAUUCCUAUAGGAUUGAGGUGUAGGAAUGCAUCCAUAGGAAUUUUGGAGGUGUGGUUCCUUUGAUCCAAAGGGCUUCUUUAAGAAAAAAUCCAAUGGAUUAGAAUCCUCCAAUAUUCCUAUGAAAAUCCUUCAAUCCAAAAAGGCCCUAAGUGAUUUCUUCUUGCCAUGACAAGAAAGUAACCCGUGAUUCUUCUUGCGUCGACCCUUUCUUGCUUAAGAGCAACGUUUACAGCACACAUACCGAUCACCAUACAUAUGUGAAUGGGAUCGAUCUUCUUUUCAACAGCCUUUGUACAUACUUCAUCAUCGUCUCAUCAAUUCACACAGACGCGGUGCCGCGUCCGUCCGUAUUUUGCAGCCGAAUGAUAUAGGAUUUUUCGUAAAUAAAGUGACGAAAGAUGGGCCCAUUUUUUCUCUUGUUUUGUUCUUUUUACCAGAAAAAAAAGAAUUCCUUUUAGAUGCCCCUGGUUCCUCUAUUUGUUGUUCUUUUUAUCCCAAAGAAAACGAAUUCCCUUUUAGAUGCCAUGAAAAACAAUUUGUGUCAGGUCAUAUUUGCAUUCAGAUAUGCAUUACGGCUUGGGCAAGUGUGCAUGUGCGGAGUAGUAGCUGGAGCGUUCUUGCACGCAGCUGGCGACGCACACAGAAACCAAGCGAGACGUGAGGGAGUGCAAAUUGUAAAGGCUUCUUUGGAUCACAGAAUUAGAAAACAAAGGAAUUCAAAAAACACAGGAAUUUGACGGGAUUGUAGGUGCAAAAUAAAGGAUUACAAAAUAGAGGAAAACUACAAGAAUGGUCAUUUGGAUGGAACACAGGAAAAACACAGGAAAAGUGCCUCGAUCCUACGCGAAUCAGUGUAAAAAAGAGGUUAUAGUGGAUGUUAAAAUUCCUAUAGGAUUGAGGUGUAGGAAUGCAUCCAUAGGAAUUUUGGAGGUGUGGUUCCUUUGAUUCAAAGGGCUUCUUUAAGAAAAAAUCCAAUGGAUUAGAAUCCUCCAAUAUUCCUAUGAAAAUCCUUCAAUCCAAAAAGGCCCUAAGUGAUUUCUUCUUGCCAUGACAAGAAAGUAACCCGUGAUUCUUCUUGCGUCGACCCUUUCUUGCUUAAGAGCAACGUUUACAGCACACAUACCGAUCACCAUACAUAUGUGAAUGGGAUCGAUCUUCUUUUCAACAGCCUUUGUACAUACUUCAUCAUCGUCUCAUCAAUUCACACAGACGCGGUGCCGCGUCCGUCCGUAUUUUGCAGCCGAAUGAUAUAGGAUUUUUCGUAAAUAAAGUGACGAAAGAUGGGCCUAGUUCUUUCUUUCGAUGGUGCAAAUAGUUGAGAAAUAUUGUGCUAGUCAGAAAAAACAAUAUCUAGCUCUGUCUUCAGUCAUACUUCCUCCAGUCCUUUUUUACUUUGUACAUUAGCUUUGACUGAAGUCAAACUUUAUAAAGUUUGAUCAAAUUUUUAGAGAAAAAAAUUAAUAUUUUUAAUACCAAAUCAAUAUCAUUACAUGCAUUGUAUAAUAUAUUUUAAUAUUAGAUUUAUUUGGUAUUGUAGAUGUUGAUAUGUUUUAAUAUAAAAAGUUGAUCAAAGUUUACAAAAUUUGACUUGAGACAAAUCUAAAACGCAGACUAAAACGGAAUGGAGGGAGUACUAAGAAAUACAUAGAACCAGCCAGUCCCAGCAAAUUUAGGGACCGAUGAAGCGGUGUCUAUAUAGGGCAUCAUUGUCUAGGUAGUAUAGUGCAUAGUAACAUUAAUUGGUAAUGACCAAAAUAAUAGAGUAGCAACAUGCUUCCCAAAAUGAGUUAUGUAACUUCUAGAUCCCAAGCUAUACAUGAACUCUUGCAUAAAGUACAUGGACCGAGCCUAGGUAACUAACGAAUAAUAAGCAACACAUAAGCAUGGAGCCAACCAGCUAGUCGGGUGUUCUACCAGCGGUGGAGCUACGUUGUAGCCUCCAGGGGCCAUGGCCCCCAUCCCCCCAGCCUUAAUAAAAAAAUAGGAAGGAAAUUUUUUAAGGGGUGCUUGGAUUAGAAAAAAUAUAACCUUUGCCCCCCCCCUAAGAUCCUGCCUAGCUCCAGCACUGUCAUGUACUGUUCUGAAAGUGCUACAAGAAAGAUCUUGUCCGUGGAGCAAAUGCUGACUGGUAUCAACUAGCCAAAAUAUUUUCUGCAUCCAUACAUGUCGAAUAAUUUAAGUGGUAUGACAGGAAACUAUAGAUACCAGCACCGCUUGCACUUCAGAUUUACCAUAGUACACUUCAAAACCUUAGUGCAAUAUAAGGAGAGGAUCUAGAAGGAGAAGGUUUUGGUCUAUGUUCUUGACAAAGAAAAAUUAAAUUUAGCGAUUGUACUUCCUUGAUUAACCUCCUCCUGGUAAACUUUGAAUGAAUUAAUUGACCAUGUUGCAAUCCCAACAAAAAGGGAAUCUCGAUGUGUAGUGGUUGGAGAAGGCAAAGAUUUUUUUUAUGUCACAAAUGAAAAUGGUAUGACCAGUGAGCUAUGAAUUUAUAUAAAAUAUAUCAAAACAAGAUGUGGAUGUUUCCUUGAUAUAUCUGUCAAAGCACACUUUCAUGUGUGUCAUAUAGGAAUUACUUCCUCCGUCCCAUAAUAUAAGAGCGUUUCUGACACUAGAAACACUCUUAUAUUAUGGGACGGAGGGAGUAGUAAGUGGCGUGAAACAUUGAGAGAUGAGAUUUAGACAUAAGACUAGUAACAAAGAGCUAAUGAAGAAAUGGCAUGGAAUGAGGGAAAUGAUUGCAGUGACACACUUUUCUCUUAAUAGACUGUAAUUUUCUGAUAGCAAACUAUAUAUAUAUAUAUAUAUAUAUAUAUAUAUAUAUAUAUAUAUAUAUAUAUAUAUAUAUAUUUUCAUGAUGUGAUUAAAAAUCAAUGCAUUUUAAAUCUCACCUUACAACAAAUAAGAUACACAAAAUCAUGAUCUGAGCAAUACAUGGAUGCUAAAAACAUGGAAACAUGAGGCAUGACAUUCGACGUGAAAUAUCCACCUGGGUCGAAAGUAUAAAUUAUCAUGGAGGUGUGGAUGUUGAAGUACCCACAAAUUGAUUGUCCUGGUACUCCUUGAGUGGCAAGCCCUGGUGCGUGUGUGACUAGUCAGCAAGGCUUGUUGAAGAAAACCAUGAUGGUUGUUGGGUCCACCCCCUCCAAUGCUCUUCGGAACACCUUCAAUGCGGAGGAGGUAACGGGAGAGGCAGAGCGGCGUGGAGUAUCUCCACUACUAUUAAAGAAUCAAACAAGAACUUUCUUAUAUGCACCCCGUAAUUAGUCCCACAACACCUCACAAACCAAUCAACACCAUACAAUUAGUCCAUAACACUAAAUCUAACCGUCAUUAUUUAUUUAAUACCUCUAUGAUGUGCGCUUAGCGUUUUCCAAUGACUGACCAUACUCCACUACGUGAGGAGUCUCUGCGAUCCCGCGUCCCCUACAAUCACGGAAGGCAAUGAUCUCGAUCCUGAAAUCACGCAAAUGAUUUCCUUCUAUACAUCAUAUCCUACUCCCGCCACUUCUAAACUCAAACACAUGAACAAGAAGCCUCAACGUGGAUCAUCUAAAAGAACUGCACGCGCUACAAUCAGGGGCCCCAGCUGCCGUCCUUGGGAGCGGCUCGUCGCCCGACGCUCCUCCGCCUAGCCUCGCAUUAAGCGCCGAGUCCGCGACUGCUGGGCCGUGCAGGAGUGCGGGUGCCGCGGCUCGAGGCGGUCGGGGAUGCGGGGUCCAGGUGUCGGCGGCGCAUCUCGCCGGGUCAAUGGAAGGCGAUGGUGAAGACGUCGAGGCAACACGAAGGAGCUCGUGGAGGACGCCGGCGCUUCUGUCGCUGCUAGGAAUAGGCGGAGGCGACCGGAUCUGGGGCGGCGGCGGCGGGUGCAGAUGACUUCGGUGGCGGCGUGAUGCCUCAUGUACGGUUGCACCGGUGGUUAGAGAAUGAAGGAGGAGGAAAGAAAAGAAAAGAGGGAAGCGUGAUGGCAUGGCUCAUCGUUUUGUUCGCCGGCGGGGGAGGAAGACCCGUGUUUUACCCUCACAUAAUUCAAUGAAAGGAGGAGGCAGCGUUCCUGCACAUCACUAGAACCAUAACAUUCAUUUAUGCAUUUCCUCAUAAUUCAGUUUCCUGGCAAAUUGUUACAUAUUGUUACGGACCAUUAGAAUUAGCUAAUUAGUAGAUCAUGGCUUUACAGUUCGCAGGAUAUAUAAGUGUAACAUAUCCAUUACAAUCGGGAGCACAAGCCUUUGAUGCUGGUAAAUUAUUUACCAUGGUCACUACUUUUUUUUCUUGCUCUUUUGGAGUUACUGUGAAUAAAUGAUGAUAAAUAGGAGGGUACAGAUCAUUGCUAGAUCAGAAUAUUGGAUGACAUGCAAGCAUCUUCCUUCAUUGGUUUGUGUGCUCUACGGUGGGGGUCGUAUUUUGCUGGGCAGCCUAUUUGGAAUCGCUAAUGGAUCAUCUGUAUCAAUAUAACUAAAAUGGGCGUUCGUUCUUACUCGACAUUUGUGUUCAGGCGGGCAUGGUUUUAAAUAGCCCGCUACAGCGUUUACAAGAGGUCUUGCACUAAGGGACGUUGAUUCAAAUACAUGAGCAAAUAUUUUAAAUAGCACGCUAUAGCACUUAGAAGAGGUCCACCGCUAAGAGGCUUAGCGCGCUAUUUAAAACUAUUCAACACCAUAAGAUUAUCACACCAUGGUGCUAUUAUUUUAAAUUUAGGCCAUGACACCUUCAGUCUGCAGUUCACAUUGUCGUAGUAUAUGUAAACACUGUUUCUAAGUGCCAAGCUGGUAAAUGUAUCUAUACCAACUUUGUUGUCACACUAUUUUGUUGCUUACAGACAAAACAACGAUGAAGCCCCAUGCUUUUCUAACCCAGUGACCGCUUCUGGCCUCGCUAAGGUGACGGGGGAUAAAUCAUCCAUGUUAGUGCUUUUAGUUUUGACUUGCAACAUCUAAGAUAGAUUCUGAUAUUAAAACUCCAUUGCACAAAUUUUAUCUUUUCUCCUAAGAUGGUGAGAUUCUGUGAUGCUGAAUUACACCCAAUGAAUACAUAAGAAAACAGGUCUUGCUUUUUCUCUUGAAUGGUACGCAAGUUUGUCAAUUGUUUAGUGAAGCUUUCCUUCAAAAGAGUUAUAAAUACUACAAGAAGGAGAGUAAGACAAUGACAUUUCACUGGAAUAUGGAUUUUGAGAGGACAUAUAUGUGUUUACCUCUCUAGAAUUACAUAUUACUUUCCUUGCUGAUGCUAUUGCUCAGGUGAAGGUAUUGCUAUCCAUUUUUUUAGGUUGAAUCUAUGUUUCGAGCACUGGUCAUCUAAAUGGAGUUUCUACGUUUUCUCUGUACUGGUGAUCAUAUGUUCGACCUAAUGCCUAUCUAGGGUCCUGGGCGGACCUGGCAUAGGUUAUGCUGCACAUCGACAAGUGUUCAUCAGCACACCUUAAAUAAAAUAGUUUUGCUAAAGCACAUCUAGAUGUGCCCUAAGUAUUGCACAUCUAAGUCCUAUAUCAUUGAUUUUAUGCGAAGAUUCGUGCAAGAUUUUCGGUUGUCCUUUUCUUUUCCUUUUUAGUUUGAUUGAGACACUUAGAUGUGCAAUAACUCUAGACAAACCCGAAAGAAAAUCAAGUUUGAUGCAAGAAUGGUUUUCUUUAAAAAUCUGUUCAUUUGUGGCUACAAAGCUUAAGAAGGUUGACUGAAGGUACUCAGAGGAUCUGAACCUGAAACUCUGAUUUUGUUUUUUUUGCUCGGCAAUCAUUGUGCGCUGCAAAUGAAAUAUAUUCAAGUUUAGCUAGAACUUAUUUCAAGGAAAUGAUGUAUUAUCUUGGUAGGUAGGCAACAUAUAUAGAUGAUGAUAGAUGUGUUGGUAUUCAGCACUUGGGUGUCGUGCUAAUGAUGCCACUCUUCAUGGUACUUCCAUUGUACUUUAAUAUAUUAUAUGCUGACGUUUGGUUGGGUUUUCUAAAUUUGUAUGCGGUUAUUUCUGAUCUAUAUGAGAUUUAUUUGGACAUGCCUUCUAUUCACAAAUAAGGGCCACUGAUCGCUAGCAGUUCUAUUUAACUCCGCUAAUUAAUUUCUAUGUCAAUAUUGGCCUGCAACUUGGCAACAAAUGGCAGAAAUGACACAACUAUGAGGACGCUAUGUUAUCCUCCCUGCUUUCUGUUUUGGUGAUCACAGGUUUGUGGAUUACAAUUCUUUGUAUACUUCUUUCCCUGGGAAUUGAAGAUUUAUGUUUUUUUAAUGUCAUCAGAGCUGCAUUUUGGUUUUGUUAGAAGAAUAUUAGAACUGGACUAUUUGUUUGGAUAAAAAUGACAUGAGAACUUCUUAUUGCGCAGAUAAAAACUAUGUAGUAAAAAUACAAAAGCCCACAAGAUCUAAAGUUGUAACAUGGAGUGUGUUCAUGCAUCAGUUUGCCUUAAUGCAGAGAAUGUGGGUAAAAUGUAAGAAUUGUUUUCCCUGAACUUUAGCCACAUUGAUACCAUUUUCAUGAGGUUGUUAUUAAGCAUUACUUACUCAUAAUCUGGGAUCCCGAAUUUGUGACAGCUUCAAGAUUAUUGCAUGUCUGUUGAUGUUUGUUCUCAAACUUAAGCCAUUUUUUCUCCUGAUGCUAUAUGUCGCACCUCAAGAUCUUGUUGCUCCUCGUUCCAAAUUUUUGAUCCGCAGAACAGUAAUAGGGGACAAGGUUACAAGUAAAUUUCAUGCUUAGGAAUGAUUUCAAUCUUCCGAUUCCGCAUAAUAGUGAGAAGGGCAACAAGGCUGCACUUAAAAACGGUGUUCAUGAAUUCAAUAUCAACGACCAGCAACUCCAAGAUUCAAGUGUGGAUGCGAGGUAUAAUCAUUACAAAUGUGACAAGCCCUAUGUUCUGAUAGGUUGUUUUUUUCUUCUCAUUGAGAAGAUGAUAUUCAGUUUGUUUGAGAUUUUAGUCUUCAUACUCCCUUCGGGCUAUUAUCUCUACGGUCUGACAUUGGCCACUUCUCAUUUUUGUGGAUGACGGACUUGGUUUUCUCAUAGUGAUAGUCAUUCAUUCAAUUUUAUUGGUACUGAAAUGGUAUUUGCAUGCGUGUCUGCGCAAAUGGAGAAUACUGAUGAACACUUUAAAUUAUCCAUUGUGCAACAAGGGGAUUCCAGCUUCUAUUGGAUAAUAUUGUAAUAAUACGACUUGCAAAUUUUGAACGAUUGUAUAUGUAACGAAAAAUACGAUGGCCUGAAGUCAGUUUCAAUGCAUGUAUGUUUAUCUAGACGUGCGUUGCACGUGCACAUUUACUAGUUGAAGGAAGGAGGGUAAACAUAUGGGGUUCGUGUAUGUACAAGGGCCAAUGAACCGUAAGCCAGCCCAAUCAACCAGAGGCCUCUCAUUUUGCUACGGGAGUAGCGGCCCUAUAGCAGUUUGCGGGUACUAUUGCGGUGCUAUAUGAAUGCAACGGCCAGGGAUGACUAUAUCACGAAAUCAGACGGGCCAGGAGCGCACAAGAUGUGAGAGGGCUGGGAAGGAGUUUGAUUUUACAGUCCUAAAUAAAUAAAUUAAUGACUAAUGUCGGACUGUACUUUCUGAAUCCAUGAAUUUAAUUCAGAUGUAUCCUGUCGGACAUGCAACCUGGAAAAAUAGUGCCAACGCCUAUGAAUAGAGAGAGCGAAAAGGUGCGACGGCACCCGGGUGCCCCGACACCCCCUUAUCCGAGCCGUACAGCGAUUUGUAGAUUCGUGUAGCUUAUUAGCCAGCAGCAGACCACAUGGGGUGUCAGGUUAAUUAGGCAAGGUAAAUUACGGAGAUGAGCAGGGUAGGUCCUAGGCUGUAGCAGGGCAUUGUAGGCAUGCACGAGGUCAUGGAUGUCACCGUAAUAGGCAUGUCAGACGGGUCAUCCUUGAAAGGACAAUGCAUAGGGAGGUGCAUGCGUUGUAUCUACUUCAGAUUUCAAUCACGCAACGUGUUCAGCAGUCCGGUCAGCCGACGCGGGUCCCGUGGGGGUUCACAACUGCGUCAGUUUUCACAUCGUCCCAAUAUAUUAUAUUUCCUUCUUCGUUGCAUCAGUGUUUUGCGAUUGAGGUGAGAAACUGAGAAUGGGUAUCCUUCAGCCGGGAGUUGCCGUACACAUAGUACUGCCUUUUUUUGCGGGUACACAUAGUACUGCUUCCUGACAUGAUUCAAGCAUAGUUUCUACUCCUUCCGUUGAAAAAUGUAGUGCGCCCGUGCUUUUCAAGGUUGAAUUUUGAUCAUAAAUUUAAUCAACGAGACUGACUGCGACGGAAGCAAAAAUUAAACUUCUUUUGAAUACGAAUUCACUGAUAUAAUUUUUGCUCCCACCUCAAUCGGUCUCAUUGGUUAAAUUUAUGAUCAAAAUUGAAGCGCGGGAACCUAAUGAUAUAUCCAAAUGUGAGUGAGUAACAAAAAAGGAAAAAAAUGAUAUAUCCCUCAGUUUUCACUAUAUUUUCAUGAUACUCCCUCAGUUUUUGCUAUAUUUUCUUACGGAGUGAGUAACAAAAAAGAAAAAUAGAAAAUACAAACGAUAUAUCCAAAUGUGCAUGCCCAUUAAGAUACAUGUACCGGGCACAUGACAAUUCGAAUCAAUAUUUAUUUAAGCCCUGAAGAUAAGUUGGGUUAUUAUGAAUUGAUUGGCAUUUUUUUUCCAUUAUGUGUCAUCCUAAGUUUUUUUUUUUGAGGUUCAACAUGUGUCAUCCUAAGUUUUUUUAGAACGAAGACGUCAGAUGCGUCCGGUUUUAGAUUAAUAAAGCCCCAACGGCAGCGUACCACAUACCAAGUCUUGAUACAUCACCAAAAGCCAUGCCGGCUCGACCACCACAGUUCAAAUGAAACUAAACUAAACAAGCUGCAAAUCAAGGUUACAGGGUAGGGCCCGUACAGAGCACGCAGGCUCGUCAAGCAACCAAAAAGGACCGAAGUCAUGACUUCCUAGCCAUCGCAUACACUUGCACCAGUCGUUGUUGGGCGGUCUUGAUCAGCUCAGCAUCCUUGCGCCUCCCCAACGGACUCCACUGCUGCAAUAGGAGGUUGCAUUUGAAGAUGAUAUUAGCCGGAUGAUUUGGAAAACACCCUUCUAUAGUAAACUUGUUCCUAGUUAGCCAUAAGGCUCAGAGAAGUGCCCCAACACAACUCCACAUAACCCGAUAUGCUGGGCCCUUAAUCGCAUCUAGGAGGUUGAAAAGCUCGGUAGCCGAGCGCGGGUCCCAAAGGACACCCGCCGCGGUCCGGAUUGCACUCCACGCGAACCUCGCUAGAGGGCAACGGAAAAACACAUGAUUGGCAUCCUCCGGUUCCCCGCACAACGCACACGGACCCGUGGCCGGUCCAUUACGUUUGGCUACGUUCAAGGAAGUGGGAAGCCUAUCGCGAAACAGUUGCCAUAUGAAAAGUUUGAUCUUCAAAGACAUCCGCGCUUUCCAUAAUCCUGCAAUCACUGGCUAUGUCGGCCCUCGACACAACUUGCGGUAUAAGGAGUUCACCGAGAACUUCCCCGAGUUAGUGAGCGUCCAACUCACCGUGUCAGGCUGGUCCGAAAGACCCACUGGUUCGAUUAGUUGCAGCAAGACCGCGAGGCUUGCCUGCUCAGGCCCGUUGAGUUCCCGCUUAAAUUGAAACUCAGGUGGCGUCGCGGCAAGCGCAUCCGCCACUGACAACGCGGUGUCAACAGCAAUAUCGUACAAAUCCCGAAAUUCAACCCAAAGGGGUUGGGUACCUAUCCAAAGAUCAGUCCAGAAUCGCGCGAAUCUGCCGUUCCCAACCGAAAAUUUUGCCCCCAUGGCAAAAGCUGGUUUGAUCAACUGAAGAUCAUUCCAAAAAAGUGAGCCCCUUGCCCUCCCUUCAAAGAAAUUCCCGUUAGGAAAAUAUUUGGCCCUUAGGAGAUCAACCCACAACCCGAAGGCCCCUGGGUGAUUUUCCUAAGUUGAUGUGGCUCCUAAUAUAUAGAUGCAUAUCUAGGAAGUAAGUAGUACCUCAUCUGUACCAUGCCCAUUACGAAACAUGUACCAGGCGCAUGUAGAGCCAUCUGUUCCGAAUCUGCCACGAACAAGUGAGCCAGGUACGGGUGUCACACAGGAAGGAGUGGGUGUACAUAAAAAGAAAAAUGGUGCGCGAUGCAGUUUGAGAUUCAUUUCUCUGUCGUUCAAACACAUGGUCGAAGGAAUAUUUUCUAAAACAUGGUGCGGCCAAUGAAUGCAUAUGGCUGCAUGCCACCAGCCUGCUAGCUCCAGAAGAAAGGUUCCUGCCCGACGACUUAUGAUGUGGCCAAGUCCGGUGAAGCAACUCGGCGCCAAAUAUUAUUGUCCCGAUAAAGGGAAAAGUUGUAUAGUCACAUCUGUGUACGCAACGCAUUGGGGCUUGACGUGAUUCGUGAUAGCUACGGUUGGGUGGAGGGAUGCGCGCACCGCGCAUGUGAUGGCUGCAUCGUCCCGCAUGCUGAUGGAAAUACUCUGCCACGUCAUGCACGGGAAGGCUACUAUGAGGCAGAUACGAAAAAACAAAAUUAAAUAGAAAAUAGUGAACAUCAAACAUAGUUAUAUUUUCUGUUUUAUGUUUAUGUUUUCAGUUUCCACGGUACCAGAACAACGUAAUAUGCAUCAUAGUAGCACCCUAGUUUUCUCUCUGGCCACGCAAUGGAUACGAGCCGAGCAGACAAGCAUCUACCCGAUGUCAAAUCCAUGCAAGUCACGGCCGUCCGGCAGCAUGCCACUGUCGCUUACGCAAAGUAUGCCCUUCGUGCUGUCACGUGGGCAGUCGAGUCAAGGGCGCUAUCUCUCCUUCCCCGCUAGGUGGAAUCAUGCUAAGUCGAACAGUGCUAGAUUAGGCCCAGAAGCGGUCAAAAAAUUGUGGAUCCUACCACAUUUAAUGAUCUGCUAGACCUGCUAAUCAAAUGGGUGCUACAGUAUGUCAGUGAAGUGUCCAAAGGAGAGGCCAUGGUCAUAUGAGUUUUUUUAAACAAGACAAAAGACUUGUCAUUCUUCUUGUUUAAGAAGAAGAGAAUUGUCCGGUAUGACCAUCACCACCGUUGUAACGCAGGAUCAGCAACCACCAGAACAGAGCACAAUGCACCAGAUCCAGAUCGAGCGGCUCGAGCUAAGCAGCUGAGUAGGAGCAGGCCCUCCGCCUAUUACUUUCACCCAACACAACCAUAUAUAGACCUGUUAUAUUCACCCGACUCAACCUUACUUGGACCUGGUACAUGUUGGAAAUAUGCCCUAGAGGCAAUAAUAAAAGUAUUAUUAUUAUAUUUCCUUGUUCAUGAUAAUUGUCUUUUAUUCAUGCUAUAACUGUAUUAUCCGGAAAUCGUAAUACACGUGUGAAUACAUAGACCACAAUAUGUCCCUAGUGAGCCUCUAGUUGACUAGCUCGUUGUGAUCAACAGAUAGUCAUGGUUUCCUGCCUAUGGACAUUGGAUGUCGUUGAUAACGGGAUCACAUCAUUAGGAGAAUGAUGUGAUGGACAAGACCCAAUCCUAAGACUAGCACAAAGAUCGUGUAGUUCGUUUGCUAGAGCUUUGCCAAUGUCAAGUAUCUCUUCCUUUGACCAUGAGAUCGUGUAACUCCUGGAUACCGUAGGAGUGCUUUGGGUGUAUCAAACGUCACAACGUAACUGGGUGACUAUAAAGGUGCACUACAGGUAUCUCCGAAAGUAUCUAUUGUUUUAUGCGGAUCGAGACUGGAAUUUGUCACUCCGUGUAAACGGAGAGGUAUCUCUGGGCCCACUCGAUAGGACAUCAUCAUUUGCGCAAAUGUGACCAAGGAGUUGAUCACGGGAUGAUGUGUUACGGAACGAGUAAAGAGACUUGCCGGUAACGAGAUUGAACAAGGUAUCGGUAUACCGACGAUCGAAUCUCGGGCAAGUAACAUACCGCUAGACAAAGGGAAUUGUAUACGGGAUCAAUUGAGUCCUUGACAUCGUGGUUCAUCCGAUGAGAUCAUCGUGGAACAUGUGGGAGCCAUCAUGGGUAUCCAGAUCCCGCUGUUGGUUAUUGACCGGAGAACGUCUCGGUCAUGUCUGCAUGUCUCCCGAACCCGUAGGGUCUACACACUUAAGGUUCGAUGACGCUAGGGUUAUAAAGGAAGCUUGUAUGUGGUUACCGAAUGUUGUUCGGAGUCCCGGAUGAGAUCCCGGACGUCACGAGGAGUUCCGGAAUGGUCCGGAGGUAAAGAUUUAUAUAUAGGAAGUCCUGUUUCGGUCAUCGGGACAAGUUUCGGGGUCAUCGGUAUUGUACCGGGACCACCGGAAGGGUCCCGGGGGCCCACCGGGUGGGGCCACCUGCCCCGGGGGGCCACAUGGGCUGUAGGGGGUGCGCCUUGGCCUACAUGGUCCAAGGGCACCAGCCCCAAGAGGCCCAUGCGCCAAGAGAAGAGAAAAAGGGGAGAGUCCUAAAGGGGGAAGGCACCUCCGAGGUGCCUUGGGGAGGAUGGACUCCUCCCCAUCCUUAGCCGCACCCCUUCCUUGGAGGAGGGGGCAAGGCUGCGCCCUCCCCCUCUCCCUUGGCCCUAUAUAUAGUGGGGAAAAGGAGGAGCAAUCAGACCUAAGGCCUUUGGUUGCCUCCCUCUCCCUCCCGUGACACAUCUCCUCUCCCGUAGGUGCUCGGCGAAGCCCUGCAGGAUUGCCACGCUCCUCCAUCACCACCACGCCGUUGUGCUGCUGCUGGAUGGAGUCUUCCUCAACCUCUCCCUCUCUCCUUGCUGGAUCAAGGCGUGUGAGACAUCGUCGAGCUGUACGUGUGUUGAACGCGGAGGUGCCGUCCGUUCGGCACUAGGAUCAUCGGUGAUCUGAAUCACGACGAGUACGACUCCAUCAACCCCGUUCACUUGAACGCUUCCGCUUAGCGAUCUACAAGGGUAUGUAGAUGCACUCCCCUUUCUACUCGUUGCUGGUCUCUCCAUAGAUAGAUCUUGGUGUUGCGUAGGAAAAUUUUUGAAUUUCUGCUACGUUACCCAACAGUGGCAUCAUGAGCUAGGUCUAUUGCGUAGAUUCUUUGCACGAGUAGAACACAAAGUAGUUGUGGGCGUUGAUGUUGUUCAAUAUGCUUACCGUUACUAGUCCAAUCUUGUUUCGACGGUAUUGUGGGAUGAAGCGGCCCGGACCGACCUUACACGUACUCUUACGUGAGACAGGUUCCACCGAUUGACAUGCACUUGGUGCAUAAGGUGGCUAGCGGGUGCCUGUCUCUCCCACUUUAGUCGGACCGGAUUCGAUGAAAAGGGUCCUUAUGAAGGGUAAAUAGCAAUUGGCAUAUCACGUUGUGGUUCAUGCGUAGGUAAGAAACGUUCUUGCUAGAAACCCAUAGCAGCCACGUAAAACAUGCAAACAACAAUUAGAGGACGUCUAACUUGUUUUUGCAGGGUAUGCUAUGUGAUGUGAUAUGGCCAAAAGGAUGUGAUGAAUGAUAUAUGUGAUGUAUGAGAUUGAUCAUGUUCUUGUAAUAGGAUUCACGACUUGCAUGUCGAUGAGUAUGACAACCGGCAGGAGCCAUAGGAGUUGUCUUUAUUUAUUGUAUGACCUGCGCGUCAUUGAAGAACGCCAUGUAAACUACUUUACUUUAUUGCUAAACGCGUUAGUCAUAGAAGUAGAAGUAGUCGUUGGCGUGACAACUUCAUGAAGAUACGAUGAUGGAGAUCAUGAUGAUGGAGAUCAUGGUGUCAUGCCGGUGACAAGAUGAUCAUGGAGCCCCGAAGAUGGAGAUCAAAAGGAGCAAAAAUGAUAUUGGCCAUAUCAUGUCACUAUUUGAUUGCAUGUGAUGUUUAUCAUGUUUAUGCAUCUUGUUUACUUAGGACGACGGUAGUAAAUAAGAUGAUCCCUUACAAAAUUUCAAGAAGUGUUCUCCCCUAACUGUGCACCGUUGCUACAGUUCGUCGCUUCUAAGCACCACGUGAUGAUCGGGUGUGAUGGAUUCUUACGUUCACAUACAACGGGUGUAAGACAGUUUUACACAGCGAAAACACUUAGGGUUAACUUGACGAGCCUAGCAUGUGCAGACAUGGCCUCGGAACACGGAGACCGAAAGGUCGAGCAUGAGUCGUAUAGGAGAUACGAUCAACAUGAAGAUGUUCACCGAUGAUGACUAGUCCGUCUCACGUGAUGAUCGGACACGGCCUAGUUGACUCGGAUCAUGUGAUCACUUAGAUGACCAGAGGGAUGUCUAUCUGAGUGGGAGUUCAUAAGAUGAACUUAAUUAUCCUGAACAUAGUCAAAAGACCCUUUGCAAAUUAUGUCAUAGCUCGCGCUAUAGUUCUACUGUUUAGAUAUGUUCCUAGAGAAAAUUAUAGUUGAAAGUUGAUAGUAGCGAUUAUGCGAUCAGUAGAAAGCUUAUGUCCUUAAUGCACCGCUCAGUGUGCUGAACCCCAACGUCGUUUGUCGAUGUUGCGAACAUUGGACAUACACGUUUUGAUAACUACGUGAUAGUUCAGUUAAAUGGUUUAAGUAGAGGCACCAAAGACGUUUUCGAAACGUCGCGGAACAUAUGAAAUGUUUCGAGGGCUGAAAUUAGGAUUUCAGGCUCGUGCCCACGUCAAGAGGUUUGAGACCUCCGAUGAUUUUCUUAGCCUGCAAACUAAGGAGAGAAGCUCAAUUGUUGAGCUUGUGCUCAGAUUGUCUGAGUACAACAAUCACUUGAAUCAAGUGGGAGUUGAUCUUCCAGAUGAAAUAGUGAUAGUUUCUCCGAAGUCAUUACCACCAAGCUGCUAGAGCUUCGUGAUGAACUAUAACAUAUCAGGGAUAGAUAAGAUGAUCCUUGAGGUAUUCACGAUGUUUGACACCGUGAAAGUAGAAAUCAAGAAGGAGCAUCAAUUGUUGAUGGUUGGUGAAACCACUAGUUUCAAGAAGGGCAAGGGCAAGAAGGGAUACUUCAUGAAACGGCAAAUCAGCUGCUGCACCAAUGAAGAAACCCGAGGUUGAACCCAAAUCCGAGACUAAGUGCUUCUGUAAUAAGGGGAACAACCACUGGAGCAGGAUUACCCUAGAUACUUGGUAGAUGAGAAGGCUGGCAAGGUCGAUAGAAGUAUAUUGGAUAUACAUUGUGUUAAUGUGUACUUUACUAGUACUCCUAGUAGCACCAGGGUAUUAGAUACCGGUUCGGUUGCUAAGUGUUAGUAACUCGAAAUAAAAGCUACGGAAUAAAACGGAGACUAGCUAAAGGUGAGCUGACGAUAUGUGUUGGAAGUGUUUCCAAGUUUGAUGUGAUCAAACAUCGCACGCUCCCUCUACCAUCAAGAUUAGUAUUAAACCAGAAUAAUUAUCAUUUGGUGUUUGCGUUGAGCAUAGACAUGAUUGGAUUAUGUCUAUCGCAAUACGGUUAUUCAUUUAAGGAGAAUAAUGGUUACUCUAUUUAUUUGAAUAAUACCUUCGAUGGUCAUGCACCUAAAGGAAUGGUUUAUUGAAUCUCGAUCGUAGUGAUACACAUUUUCAUGCCAAAAGAUAUAAGAUAGUAAUGAUAGUACCACUUACUUGUGGCACUGCCAUGUAAGUCAUAAUGGUAUAAAACGCAUGAAGAAGCUCCAUGUUGAUGGAUCUUUGGACUCACUCGUUUUGAAAAGUUUGAGACAUGCGAACCAUGUCUAUUGGUGUAUAUGCAUGAAGAAACUCCAUGCAAAUGGACCGUUUGAACUCACUUGAUUUUGAAUCACUUGAGAUAUGCAAAUCAUACCUAUUAGGCAAGAUGACUGAAAAGCCUCGGUUUCAGUAAAAUGGAACAAGAUAGCAACUUAUUGGAAGCAACACAUUUUGAUGUGUGCAGUCCAAUGAGUGCUGAGGCAUGCAGUGAAUAUCGUUAUGUUCUUACUUCACAGAUGAUUCAAGUAGAUGUUGAAUAUAUUUACUUGAUGAAACACAAGUCUGAAUUAUUGAAUGGUUCAAGUAAUUUCAGAGUGAAGUAGAAGAUCAUUGUGACAAGAGGAUAAAAUGUCUAUGAUAUGAUCAUAGAGAUGAAUAUCUGAGUUACAAGUUUUGGCACACAAUUAAGACAUUGGGGAAAUUGUUUCACAAUUAAAUACCGCCUGGAACACCAUAGUGUGAUGGUGUGUCCGAACAUCAUAGUUGCACCCUAUUGGAUAUGGUGCGUACCAUGAUGUCUCUUAUCGAAUUACCACUAUCGUUCACGGGUUAGGUAUUAGAGACAACCACAUUCACUUUAAAUAGGGCACCACGUAACUCCGAUGAGAUGACACCGUAUGAAUUAUGGUUUAGAGAAACCUAAGUUGUCGUUUCUUAAAAGUUUGGGGCUGCGACGCUUAUAUGAAAAAGUUUCAGGUUGAUAAGCUCGAACCCAAAGCGGAUAAAAUGCAUCUUCAUAGGACACCCAAAACAGUUGGGUAUACCUCCAGUCUCAGAUCCGAAAGCAAUAAGGGAUUGUUUCGAGAAUCAGGUCCUUUCUCGAGGAAAAGUUUCUCUCGAAAGAAUUGAGUGGGAGGAUGGUGGAGACUUGAUGAGGUUAUUGAACCGUCUCUUCAACUAGUGUGUGACAGGGCACAGGGAGUUGUUCCUGUGGCACCUACACCAAUUGAAGUGGAAGCUUAUGAUAUUGAUCAUGAAACUUCGGAUCAAGUCACUCCCAAACCUCGUAGGAUGACAAGGAUGCGUACUACUUCAGAGUGGUACGUAAUCCUGUCUUGGAAGUCAUGUUGCUGGACAACAAUGAACCUACGAGCUAUGGAGAAGCGAUGGUGGGCCCGGAUUCUAAUAAAUGGCUCGAGGCUAUAAAAUCCGAGAACGGAUCCAUGGACUUUGGUGGACUUGCCCGAUGAUCGGCAAGCCAUUAAGAUAAAUGGAUCUUUAAGAAGAAGACGGACGUGGAUGGUAAUGUCACCGUCCAUGAAGCUCGACUUGUGGCGAAAAGUUUUUCACAAGUUCAAGGAGUUGACUACGAUGAGAUUUUCUCAUCCGUAGCGAUGCUUAAAGUCCGUCGGAUUCAUGUUAGCAUUAGCUGUAUUUAUGAAAUCUGGCAGAUGGAUAUCAAAACGAGUUUCCUUACCAGUUUUCGUAAGGAAAGGUUGUAUGUAAUACAAUCAGAAAGUUUUUGUCGAUCCUAAGGAUGCUAAAAGGUAUGCUAGCUCCAGCGAUCCUUCUAAGGACUGGAGUGAGCAUCUCGGAGUUGGAAUGUAUGCUUUGAUGAUGAUCAAAGAUUUUGGGUUUGUACAAAGUUUAUGAGAAACUUGUAUUUCCAAAGAAGUGAGUGGGAGCACUAUAGAAUUUCUGAUGAGUAUAUGUUGUUGACAUAUUGUUGAUCAGAAAUGACGUAGAAUUUCUGGAAAGCAUAUAGGGUUAUUUUGAAAGUGUUUUUCAAUGGAAAGCCUGGAUUAAGCUACCUGAACAUUGAGCAUCAAGAUCUAUAAGGAUAGAUCAAAAUGCUUAAUAAUACUUUCAAAUGAGCACAUACCUUGACAUGAUCUUGAAGGUGUUCAAGAUGGACCAGUCAAAGAAGGAGUUCUUGCCUGAGUUGUAAGGUACGAAGUUAAGACUUAAAGCUCGACCACGGCAGAAUAGAGAGAAAGGACGAAGGUCGUCCCCUAUGCUUAAGACAUAGGCUCUUCAGUAUGCUAUGUUGUGUACCGCACCUAAAGUGUGCCUUGCCAUGAGUCAGUCAAGGGGUACAAGAGUGAUCCAAGAAUGGAUCAUAGGACAGCGGUCAAAGUUAUCCUUAGUAACUAGUGGACUAAGAAAUUUUCUCGAUUAUGGAGGUGGUAAAAGAGUUCGUCGUAAAGGUUACGACGAUGCAAGCUUGACACCUAUCCGGAUAGCUCUGAGUAGAGAGACCGGAUACAUAUAAUGGAGCAAUAAUUUAGAAUAGCUCCAAGUAGAACAGUUGUUUGGAAUAGCUCCAAAUAGAGCGUGGUAGCUGCAUCUAGGAGAUGACAUAGAGAUUUGUAAAGCACACACGGAUCUGAAAGGUUCAGACCCGUUGACUAAAACCUCUCUCACAAGCAACAUGAUCAAACAUAAAACUCAUUGAGUGUUAAUCACAUAGUGAUGUGAACUAGACUAAUGACUCUAGUAAACUAUUGGGUAUUAGUCACAUGGCGAUGUGACCUGUGAGUGUUAAUCACAUGGCGAUGUGAACUAGAUUAUUGACUCUAGUGCAAGUGGGAGACUGUUGGAAAUAUGCCCUAGAGGCAAUAAUAAAAGUAUUAUUAUUAUAUUUCCUUGUUCAUGAUAAUUGUCUUUUAUUCAUGCUAUAACUGUAUUAUCCGGAAAUCGUAAUACACGUGUGAAUACAUAGACCACAAUAUGUCCCUAGUGAGCCUCUAAUUGACUAGCUCGUUGUGAUCAACAGAUAGUCAUGGUUUCCUGGCUAUGGACAUUGGAUGUCGUUGAUAACGGGAUCACAUCAUUAGGAGAAUGAUGUGAUGGACAAGACCCAAUCCUAAGACUAGCACAAAGAUCGUGUAGUUCGUUUGCUAGAGCUUUGCCAAUGUCAAGUAUCUCUUCCUUUGACCAUGAGAUCGUGUAACUCCUGGAUACCGUAGGAGUGCUUUGGGUGUAUCAAACGUCACAACGUAACUGGGUGACUAUAAAGGUGCACUACAGGUAUCUCCAAAAGUAUCUAUUGUUUUAUGCGGAUCGAGACUGGAAUUUGUCACUCCGUGUAAACGGAGAGGUAUCUCUGGGCCCACUCGGUAGGACAUCAUCAUUUGCGCAAAUGUGACCAAGGAGUUGAUCACGGGAUGAUGUGUUACGGAACGAGUAAAGAGACUUGCCGGUAACGAGAUUGAACAAGGUAUCGGUAUACCGACGAUCGAAUCUCGGGCAAGUAACAUACCGCUAGACAAAGGGAAUUGUAUACGGGAUCAAUUGAGUCCUUGACAUCGUGGUUCAUCCGAUGAGAUCAUCGUGGAACAUGUGGGAGCCAUCAUGGGUAUCCAGAUCCCGCUGUUGGUUAUUGACCGGAGAACGUCUCGGUCAUGUCUGCAUGUCUCCCGAACCCGUAGGGUCUACACACUUAAGGUUCGAUGACGCUAGGGUUAUAAAGGAAGCUUGUAUGUGGUUACCGAAUGUUGUUCGGAGUCCCGGAUGAGAUCCCGGACGUCACGAGGAGUUCCGGAAUGGUCCGGAGGUAAAGAUUUAUAUAUAGGAAGUCCUGUUUCGGCCAUCGGGACAAGUUUCGGGGUCAUCGGUAUUGUACCGGGACCACCGGAAGGGUCCCGGGGGCCCACCGGGUGGGGCCACCUGCCCCGGGGGCCACAUGGGCUGUGGGGGGUGCGCCUUGGCCUACAUGGGCCAAGGGCACCAGCCCCAAGAGGCCCAUGCGCAAGGAAACUUGGGGAGGGAAGAGUCCUAAAGGGGGAAGGCACCUCCGAGGUGCCUUGGGGAGGAUGGACUCCUCCCCAUCCUUAGCCGCACCCCUUCCUUGGAGGAGGGGGCAAGGCUGCGCCCUCCCCCUCUCCCUUGGCCCUAUAUAUAGUGGGGAAAAGGAGGAGCAAUCAGACCUAAGGCCUUUGGUUGCCUCCCUCUCCCUCCCGUGACACAUCUCCUCUCCCGUAGGUGCUCGGCGAAGCCCUGCAGGAUUGCCACGCUCCUCCAUCACCACCACGCCGUUGUGCUGCUGCUGGAUGGAGUCUUCCUCAACCUCUCCCUCUCUCCUUGCUGGAUCAAGGCGUGGGAGACAUCGUCGAGCUGUACGUGUGUUGAACGCGGAGGUGCCGUCCGUUCGGCACUAGGAUCAUCGGUGAUCUGAAUCACGACGAGUACGACUCCAUCAACCCCGUUCACUUGAACGCUUCCGCUUAGCGAUCUACAAGGGUAUGUAGAUGCACUCCCCUUUCUACUCGUUGCUGGUCUCUCCAUAGAUAGAUCUUGGUGUUGCGUAGAAAUUUUUUUGAAUUUCUGCUACGUUACCCAACAGUACAUUCAUCCAAUAUAAUCAUACUUGGACAUGUUACAUUCAGCGGACACAACCCUACUUGCACCUGGUACAUUCAGCGGACGCAACAUACUAAGACCUGGUACGUUUAGCGGACACAACCCUUCUUGAACCUGAUACAUUCAAUAGACACAAUCUUACUUGAAUCUAGUACAUUCACCCGACAGAACCUUACUUGGACCUGGUACAAUCGCCCGAUACAACCAUACAUGGAACCGGUACACUCACCCCACUCAAGCUACUUGGACCCGGUACAUUCUCCCCGCACGACCUUCUCCAUCACCUUGAUGGUCAGGGACAAGGGAAACAAAUUUCCCAGCAGCUUGCGCUGAGGCCACUGAGAACUGAAGCACAUGAAAACCUCCAACCUGUUGGGUAAAUCAAUUUUCUAGUAUUUGUUGAUGAAAAAUAGAUUUUCGUAUUUUAUUCAAAAGUCAAAAUGGCAUUUCUGAUUAAUAUGAAGGAAACAAAAGGCAGUAUAAAAGAUAGACAACUGUACGUAAAAACUAUUGGUAAUAUGAAAAUCCAUUGAAAAUCAAACUAGCCCUCUUCUCCCCCUGAUUGUAGGUCGCACACUGGAGAACGAAAAUUGUAUUGAAUCAACAGUAAAGGAAGUGGGACACCCGCAAGCAUCUUUGCCAUACUAGACUUUGAAGAACGCAAUAGCCACUCACCCCGCCGGGGGAACUGAAACCUAAGGGAAAGAAAACACAACAGACAGGUUCUUACUCCCCUUUUGCGUGACGGGAUCGCCGGACGGGAAAGAGGAGGGGCAUAGAGGCUUUUUAUUUUUCUUUCUAGGGUUCUUUGUGUAAAUUGUAAGGACAGCUGUGUAACCUCUGUGUAACUACACCUACGAUGAAUGAAAGGCAGCACGGCCGUGUCGAAUACAAAAUCUCCGUGAGCUGAACCUAUCUUGGGCUGAUGUUCAUGUGUCCAGCGAGGUGCUCUGAUCGGAUGUCACUUUAAAAAAAGAAAAACAAUUUUUGCCUAUUGUACUUUAGUUUGGAUGACGGCAAAGAAACCGUUUUGACUGACGGCAAAGAACACAUUAUCGUCGUCUGCUAUUUUUGCGGUAGACGGCAAAAUUGUAAUGACCGACGAUAAUAUCUUUGUCGUCAUCCCGAUAAAAGGCUAACGACAAAGUACCCCCUUGCCGCCUAAUCAUUGCUGUCUAACUUCGCUGUCAGCCAGAUCAUUGCCGUCAGUAAUUCGUCCUUUGCUGUUUGUACUUCCCUGACGGCAAAUUAGAUGUUUCUCGUAGUGAAUACUAGGUCCAAGUAAGAUUGUGCGGGCUUAUUGUGUGAGGUUCAAAUAUGAUCGUGCCCGGCGAAUGGAUGUACCAAAGUCCAAAGUAUGUUUGUGUCCAGUAAAUAUAUCAUGUCCAAGUAUGGUUGUGUACCAGAUCUAAGUAUCUUUGUGUUGACUGAAUGUAUCAGGUCAAAAUAUGGUUUGGCUAAAUGUACCACGUCCAAGUACUCAUGUAUGGUGUUGAGGAAGGAUACUAGUUUGUGUUCUCCAGCUAUGGGGCAGCACAAUGGGAUCUUUCUCUGUUGGACGUCGAGGAAUGCGGGAAGCUCAUGCAUGUCAUCGGGGACGUGCCUGAAGGAGGUAGUGCGGCCGUAUAAAUCACGCGAUGCAAACAUGGAGGAAUUGUUGUCAUCAGCAAUCAAAAUAACAUUUCUACCAAGCAAAAUAGAUGCUUUCCCACACCAAACAAAAUUAAGUAAAAUGAAAACGGUUUUUUCAUGUAUGACGUGUCUGAAGGAGGUAGUGUAGCCGUAUGAGUCUCGCAAUGCAAACAUGGAGGAACUGUUGUCAUUUUGCUUGAUUUUUUUAGGCGUCGGGAAAUUAUAUAUUGUUUUUUUUUUAGAAAAGGAGGAUGACCCCCGGCCUCUGCAUCUGGAAGAUGCAUACGGCCACUUUAUUGCUUAUUUCCGAGGACCUUACAAAGUGUUACAACAAUAAGCCUGAAUCCACCAACUAGGCAACAUAUGCCGCUACUCCUAUCCAUAUGAUGAAGGGGUGCUAGCUGGGCCCCUACCCAGACCACUCACCUAAACCUAACAUCGAAAGCCGGAAUCCCCAACCUAGCCACAUACCGGGUCUGGGGUAUAAACCGGUCUGACGCACUCACAAGUGUCGUCUCCACCAUCUUCCACUGGACCAUCUCCAAGCAAAUUGAGGUGCCAUCCUUGGCAGGCCCUCCGCCAUCAACGCCACCAUGAUGCCAAAUGACGACCACCACCUACGGUAGAACAUCACCAAGCAGAUGGAGCGCUACCACAGGAUGAAGAUCAGCGGUAGAAUAAAUAGAUCUCCGCACACAUUGCCGCCGCCAAACACCUCACACGCACCACGAAGCGCCCACCGUGCCUCCGGGGACCCCAGGCGACGCCUUCAAGAAGGAACGCGACGAAGGGACGACGCCGUCGCCCGCAAGGGGAACUAGAGCUUACGCCCAAAUGGAGAGCACAGUGAGAAACGGGAUAGGACCUCGACAAGGCCUCCAAGAAGGGAAUCGACGCCCACAAGGCGCCGCCAUUGUCGUGGCCUCCGCCGACGGCCAAGGGUUUCCCCCGAUCCCGCCCCCGUCCCAACCACCCGGCCAAAGACAGGCCAGGGGAGCGCCCGCAGCCGGAGAAGGCGUCGGACUUCAUCGUAGCAGGCACGCCGGGUGACGGGGCACCCCGACCCACCGUAGUAGUCGUCCACCGAGACCUCGCCGCCCGCACAGCCGAAGUCGCGGACCACCAGCUCCCACGGCCGUCGCCCGUCGAGAGGCCACGCCGUCCACGCCGUCCGAGGCCGCCGCCCCGGUAUCCACCCACCGCGCACAUCUCAUCAAGACACGAAGAACGACCCACAUCGCCGCCACCAGGGAGACCACGCCGCGAGCACCCAAGCCGGGCGACGAAGCAGGGCCGUGCCAGCCAGAUCCGGGCGGAUCCGGCGAUCCUCGGCCCACCAGCCGCCAGAGAGGAGCCAACCCCGAUCCAGGGCGUGCGGCGGCGUCUGAUGCGGGGAAGGGGUGUCUCCACGUCGAGGCGGGUGCGCGGGGAAGCCCUGCCGCCGCCUACUGCCGCGCGGGCGGCUGCCGGCGGCGGCGGGGGAGGAGGAGGGGAGGCGGGGGAGACCUGGGGUGGCUAGGGUUUUCGCCCCCGAGUCGCCCGGAGCGGACGACACGGGGGUACCUCUCUGGUCUGGAAAUUAUAUAUUGUGCUUAGUUGUAGUAUUAUUUUGGCUGAUGUAUGAUUGUGUCAUGUGAAUGUACGAGGCACAAGUAUGUUUGUAUCGGCUAAUUGUACGUGCAUAACAAUGGUUAUGUUGGAUGAAUUACUAGGUACAAGUAUGCUCGUGACUGUUGAUUAUUGUACCAUGUACAGGUAUGACUGCGUCAGUAAAGUGAAGUGUACCAGCUCCAAGCACUGGUGUACUUUAGUGAUCUAAACGCUCUUAUAUUUUAUUAAGGAAGAAGUAUUAGUUUGUAGCUACUCAUGUAACAAGACAUGGACGUAUGAACAGCCGUGCUUUCUGGAUGAUGCCAGAGCUGAGCCAGGAACAUGAGUCAUACAUGAUGGAGCGCGCCUCGAACAAAAUUUCUGCGCGAUGCAUUUGAGCGACGUACAUUAAAAAAAGGAAUCAGGGGUCCUAAGUAGAUGUUAACGUGAACGUGCAGCCUUCCGCGCGUUUUCUCUCCAUCGGCACGCCAACAAUAUGAAUCACUGUAGCAUGCUCUGCGAGGUUCUCUCCUUUAGUGUUCAAAAGUGAGGUCAUGCAAAGAUUCCUGCCAAGCAGCGGUGGCGACUUGCCGAGACUGGCGAUAUGCCGUUUACCUUCUCCCUGAAUCCUUCUGCUUCCUUCGUUCAAUCCUUCUAGAUUCCAUCUCUGCCAUUUCCACCCCUUUUCCUCUUAGUUUCUCAGGUUCUCUUAAUCUCUUUGUCCCUUCUUUCUCCCAUCACAGCUUGUAGAUCUUCAGGUUACUUUCCCUUGCUACAGUACCCACCUGGUUUUCCCCUUUUCUACUGAAACAAUCUUCCAAUCCCUUGAUCUAAGUCGCCGAUUCCGGAGUGGUUUGUAGCGGCAACAGACGAAUAUUGAUGGAUGCGGCGACGGACAUCGAGGGCCCUUUGGAUAGGAGGGGGCGGAUCGAGCACGGCGUGGUUGAUAUUUUCGACUGGGGUAGCUACAAGAAGCAAGCGAUGGAGGUCCUCAAGAAAUCAAAGGACCCCCUUAGUUGUUUGGGGCGGAUGAGAGAAAGGGCAAGAGAAUUCCUUGGGCAUGAUUUUGGAAGGUUGGACAGGUUUUCUGUAAAAGGGGAAAAUAAAUUUGAGCUGGCGGCGAGGCCUUCCGUCAAACUUCAAGGGUCAGGUCCGGGGAAUUCAGUUGAGGAUGAUGCCAAGGAGGAAUUCGUCAGCAGCAAACCAGUUGCGAUCUUAUCCGUGCCAGACAAACUAGUAAUCUCUUGCAUGUAUGGUGCAGUUCUGAAUCUGAAUGAAUAUCAUAGUUCAGACUUUGAAAUGGCUGUUGUCGUGGGUGACAUUCAGGGCAUCUCUGUUCACGGAAUUAGACACCUGAAGUCAGUCAUCCCUGGUAUGCUGCACAUGUCUGCCAUGUUGUGCAAAACUCAUGUUUCGAUUGCUAGGAUUGACCUACCACCAGACCCUGGUCUAUUGUUACUUUUGGAAUGGCACAUUCUUGGAAGGUGUGGUACAGAGGAGGAUAAAAAUAAAGUUUAUUACACAGUCUUAUAUGAGAAGAUGUCAGUCUUCUGUUAUGUUUGUGGCCGUUUGGGGUAUACUUUCUUGGAAAAUGGUAAUGGCAUGCAUGACCAGAAAUGGAUGGUUUGGGAAGAUUGGAUGCUUGCCGUUUGGAUGGAUGAUCGUGCUCGCUUCUCCAACGGUAGAGCUAUGAGUUCAAGUGCUAGAAGUACUUCACUUUCUACAGGAUCGGCGGCCUCCAUCAGGGAGGACCGCCGGGCACAAUGAAUAUCUUAAGUUUGAACUGUCGGGGGUGCGGGCGACCUGAGACAGUUCAAGAAAUUAGCAGUUUGAUUCGGCUGCAUCACCCGUCACUGGUUUUUCUCUCAGAGACCAGGCUGUCUGAUAAGAGAGCUCAGGAUCUGAAGUUUCGCUUGGGGUUCAGUAAUGCGGUUGGCGUAAAGAGCGAGGGGCUAAGUGGAGGCCUUGUCCUCUUUUGGAACAAUGAUUCGGUGGUAUCCCUGAAAUCUUUCAGUCGGACGCACAUUGAUGUGUUUGUGCAAAAUGAAAGCUUGGGGGGUAGAGAAUGGCGCUUUACGGGAUUUUAUGGUGAGCCGGUAAGAACACGAAGAAAAUUAAGCUGGGACCUUAUGAAGUUUCUGCGAAGGGAGUUUAAUAAUCCAUGUUUGAUAGCCGGAGACUUUAAUGAGGUACUUGAUGCUUCCGAACAAUUUGGAGGUAAUGUAAGAGAGGAAUGGAAAAUGGAGGGUUUUCGGGAUGCGGUGGAGUAUUGCCACUUGGAUGAUCUAGGCUAUUCCGGUCUCCCAUUUACUUGGGAUAACAGGCAGCAAGGGUCGAAUAACAUCAAAGUCAGACUUGAUCGUGCUCUAGCUGAUGAGAAAUUUAUGGAAAGAUAUGAUAAUACUAGUGUUAGGGGCUAGGGUUCUGCCCAGUCUUGGCCGUAGGCAGUAGGGAAAGGAGGGGGCUGGGCGUGGCGAUGAGUGGCCGCGCCGGCGUCUGGGCGCCGUCGCGAGAGAGGAGGAUGGCGGCGGCAGCGCAAGAGGCAGGGGGCGGCUAGGGUUCCGGCUCCUCUGGGAGCCGGGCAAUAGAGAUAAUCUUCUUAUUGCUUGAUCUCAAACGAUGUCUUACACGAGUAUUUAUAACUUUAGCCUAAGAUAACUUGCCUAAGAUAACUUGUGGGCCAAGCCCCUAAUACUAAUGCCCGGUGGGCCGCCGGCCAUAACACUUCUCCCCGCCUGCACAAACAGCUCGUCCUUGAGCUGUAAGGUGGGGAAGCGCUUGCGGAACUCCUUGAGGUGAUCAACCAGCGUCAAACACCUUCUCGACAGCUGGGGCGGUCAGGUCGGCGGCGACGACGUCCUCCGAAAUGUAGUCUGCAACCUCCAGGUAGAAGAGUCGCGGGCAGGCAUGGCCGGGCGUGUAGGGCUCGUCGCAGUUGAAGCACAACCCUUGGCGGCGACGCUCGAGGAGCUCUGCUGAGGUGAGCCGGCGGAACGGGCGUCCCGCGGUCGCGGCGAGGGGUGCCGCAGAAGCCUGCGUAGGACGACCCUGCGCGAAAUCCAGCCCGGGUAGCGACCCAGCGGUCCGGGACGGUGAGUCCUGCUGGAUGGCCACCGCGCGGUGCUCGAACGCGCGGGCGUAGUACAUGGCCGACUGGAGAUCCUGGGGUCCGCGAAGCUCCACGUCGACGCGAAUGUGAUCCGGAAGUCCACCGAUGAAGAGGUCGGCCCGCUGCUGCGCCGUUACGCCCGACGCAUGGCACGCCAGGGCCUGGAAACAGUCAGCGAAGUUCUGCACCGUGGAGGUGAAGGGAAGGCGGCCGAGCUCCGCCAAUCGGUUCCCACGCACUGGAGGCCCAAAGUGAAGGAUGCAGAGCUCACGGAAGUGCUCCCAAGAGGGCAUGGAGCCCUCGUCCUGCUCGAGGGCGUAAUACUAGGUCUGUGCCGUGCCGCGGAGGUGGUACGAGGCGAGCCAGGUAUGCUCCGAUGCGAGGGUGCACUGCCCGCGAAAGAACUGGUCGCACUGGUUGAGCCAGUUGAGGGGGUCCUCCGUGCCGUCAUAGGUGGCGAAGUCGAGCUUGGCAAACCGCGGCGGUGUCUGUGCCGGAGCGCCGUGUCGAACUGGCUCGGAGGAGAGGAGCAGCGAGGCGGGUGCGCCUGGUCGGAGUACUCCGGGUAGGGACCAGCGAAACCAGAUGGCCCCCCGAACUGCGGGAACGGAGUUGGCUGUUCGGGGGCUGUGGUGUAGACCGGCGAAGGUGAAGACCCAGCCGCCCACGCUGGAAGUGGCGACGGGGAGGCCGGGAACCGGACCUGAUGAAUCGGGAGGCCGGUUGGCGAUGGUGCCCCCGAGCUAGGCAGGGGCGGCGUCGGUGGUUGUAGCGUCGGCGACGGGGGGUGGACGGGGGCGUCGGUGGCCGCGGGGGAGGGUGGCUGCAAGUACCACAGAGGGGCCGCGGCCGGCGUGGUCCCGCCUGGAAUGGCAGCAGCGGCAGCCCGGUGCAAGCCGGCAUGGAGAACGGCUGCAGUGGUCCGGCGGCCGCCGCCUACGGCAUCUACCGUAGCGGCCAGGGGGCCGCGAACGGCGUCGACCACUGCGGCCAAGGCGGCGUCGAAGCUGCCGGUGGGGGAAGCACCGGGUAGCCGCCGGUGAUGGCCGCCGGUACCGAGUACCACGACAGCGCCUGCUGGCUCGCGGGCGCGGCCGGAUGAAGCGGUGGAGGCGGCCCGUACGGGCUCGCCAAGUAGAGGCGGAUGCCCUGGACCGCGACGACCAGGUCGUUGAGCACGCCGGCCAUGGCCUCCGGUGUGAACUGCGGCGGCGCUGGGGGAGGCGACGGCGGUGGUUGCUGGAUGGGGAUUUGCGGCUGGCCCUGGCCCGACGUAGUGCUGGGUGCGGGGGAGAUCGGCGCCGAGAGGGAGGCCGUGGCGCCCAGCGACGCAGAGGCGGCGUUGGUGGAAUCGGUGGCAGCGGCGGUGGGGGAGGCGUUGGGCAGCGGCGACUGCGGUGGUGGCGGGUUUGGAGGCGAUGAAGACAUGGUCGAAACCCGGGUACCUGAUACCAAGGUGUUAGGGGCUAGGGUUCUGCCCGGUCUUGGCCGUAGGCAGUAGGGGAAGGAGGGGGCUGGGCGUGGCGAUGAGUGGCCGCGCCGGCGGCUGGGCGCCGUCGCGAGAGAGGAGGAUGGCGGCGGCAGCGCAAGAGGCAGGAGCGGCUAGGGUUCCGGCUCCUCUGGGAGCCGGGCAAUAGAGAUAAUCUUCUUAUUGCUUGAUCUCAAACGAUGUCUUACACGAGUAUUUAUAACUUUAGUCUAAGAUAACUUGCCUAAGAUAACUUGUGGGCCAAACCCCUAAUACUAAUGCCCGGUGGGCCGCCGGCCAUAACAACUAGAGUACUUCAUGUUCAGACAACUGAAUCAGACCACUGUGCUCUUUUGAUUGUUAUCAAGCAAUCUGAUUGGAUUGCUGCCGCAGUGAUAGAUAAGCCAUUCUGGUUUGAAAAUGCCUGGAUGAGGCAUCAUACUUAUGAUCAGACAGUGGAGGAGAGUUGGGUGGAUGGUGCGACGGAUAUGGCAUCAGUACAUAGUGCCCUUGCAAAUGUAAGUACUAAACUAAAAAAUGGAGUAAGGAGGAGUUCGGGUCAGUCCCAAGGCAGUUAAAGAUCAUGCGACAGCGACUUGAAAGACUGCGGGCGAAUUCUUUGUAUAUGGGGCCGGUGCCGGAGGAGAAACAACUCAUGCGGCGUAUCUCGGAAAUGUUGUCGAGAGAAGAGGCUAUGGCCAGACAACGUUCAAGGGUGGACUAUCUAAAGGAAGGUGAUCGAAAUACCGGGUUUUUUCAUGCUAGAGCUCGAGAAAGAUUCAGGACAAACAGAAUUAAAGCAUUAAAAGAUUUUGAUGGCACUGUGAAAACACUACAAACGGAGUUGGAGACACUAGCAGUAGAUUUCUAUACCACCUUAUUCACUGCUCAGCCUGACACAGUCCCAGAGGUGGUGACUGAAUGGGUACCCCCGAAGGUAACUGAACAUAUGAAUGAACAACUCUGUGCUCCGGUGACAGAUAUGGAAAUUGAACAAGCAUUAUUUAGUAUGCAUCCCAACAAAUCACCGGGUCCGGAUGGGCUUACUGUAGGUUUUUAUAUAUGUCAUUGGAAUGUGCUGAAGGGUGGCGUUUGUAGAGCAGUUCGUGAUUUUCUAGAGGGAGGGAUGAUGCCUAAUGAGGUGAACAGUACCGUGCUGGUUUUGAUACCCAAAGUCAAAACACCACAAGAGCUAGGACAGUACAGGCCAAUAUCAUUAUGUAAUGUGCUUUACAAGAUUGCAUCGAAAGUUCUGGCUUUACGUCUCCGGCCAAUUUUGGAUGAAAUCAUUGCUGAGGAACAAAGCGCUUUUGUACCUGGACGAUUGAUUACAGAUAAUGUGUUGAUUGCUUAUGAGUCUAUACAUUAUUUAAAGAAGAAGAAAGGUAAAGGCGGUGCUUGUGCUGUCAAGUUAGACAUGGCAAAAGCAUAUGACAGGAUUGAAUGGUUAUACUUGAGAGAGGUUAUGCGUAAAUUGGGCUUCGCAGAACAGUGGAUUGGAAGAAUAAUGGCUUGCGUUGAAACUGUAAAAUUUUCAGUUAGGGUGAAUGGACAUCUUUCGGAAUUCUUUACACCUACCCGAGGUAUUAGACAAGGUGAUCCUUUGUCACCUUAUCUCUUCUUGUUGUGUGCAGAAGGUCUCAGCAGCCUUCUAAAAUUCAAAGGGCCGUCUAAUCUUGCAAAAGGGAUAAGGGUGGGUAUCCAUGCACCUUGGAUAUCACAUUUACUGUUCGCAGACGACUGCAUGAUUUUCUCGCAGGCUACAACACAGGGUGCUCAGCGGUUACAGGAGAUUUUGGAACUUUAUAGAGUAGGCUCCGGCCAGCUGGUGAAUAGAAGUAAGUCUGCCAUUUUCUUUAGUGGCAACUGUUCGGUAGAAGGGAAAUUGGCUUUCCAGGAAGGAGUGGCAAUUCAAACUGAAGCUUUGGCAGAAAAGUACCUAGACUUACCCACAGCCCUAGGUAGAUCUAUAGAGGAGAAUUUUGAGCAUAUUGCAAACAGUAUAAAGAAACCGGUUAAUGGUUGGGCGCCGAAACUAAUGAAUAGUGCGGCUAGAGAGGUCUUAAUAAAGUCAAUCUGCCAAGCUAUUCCGACAUACUCCAUGAGUUGUUUCAAAUUGUCAAAGAAAACAUGUAAAAAAAUUAUGAGCAUUGUGGCUACAUACUGGUGGGGAGGAGAUGAGAAUAAGAGGAAGAUGCACUGGAAGAAAUGGCAGGAUAUAGCGAUACCCAAAUGUGUUGGGGGAAUGGGUUUUCGGGAUUUCCAGAUGUUUAAUAAAGCAAUGUUGGCUAAACAAAGAUGGAGACUUAUAUCUAAUCCAGAUAGUCUGUGUGCCAAAGUCUCAAGAGGGAAGUACUAUAAUGGUUUGGAAUUCAUGUCAGCAAUAAAAAGGAGGGGUUCAUCUCAUACUUGGAGGGCCAUUUUAUUUGGCAGAGAGGCCCUAAAAUUGGGUCUUAUCAAAAGGAUGGGUGAUGGGGAUACCAUAAAUGUGUGGGAGGAUCCAUGGAUCCCUUCCAAUAAUUCUUACAAGGCUAUUUUAAAGCCCAUGUAUGCUACUGCCAAUCAUGCUUCUGAACUACUUGUUGAGAAUCAGAAAGACUGGGAUGUGCAAAAGGUGAGAGCAAACUUCAUAGGUAUUGAUGCAGAGGCAAUUUUACGAAUCCCAAUUAGUGUGGGGGAAGAUUUUUGGGCAUGGCAGCCAGAUAACAGAGGUCUAUAUUCAGUUCGCUCAGCAUACAAACAGUUGAUUGAAGCUUAUGGGCGGACAGAUCAAGCAACUGGUUCUGACAAUGGUUAUCUAAAUGCUUGGAACAAGUUAUGGCAAUUAGAGGUACCACCAAAAGUCAGGUGCUUCUGGUGGAGAGUGAUCCAUGAUUUUGUACCAUGCCGAGCUGUUCUUAGGAACCGCCAUGUGGAGCAGGCUGCUUUUUGUGAGGAUUGUGGGGAGGAAGAAACCACACACCAUGCCCUGUUCAGAUGCACUUGGGCGAGAAUGUUCUGGGAACAAAUCAAAAAGAGGACAGGGGUUAAACUUCCCAACUUGCAUCCUGAGUCAUGGCCACUGGACAUAAUUGAAGGAACUACUAUAGACCAAUGCUCUGCCUGCAUCAUCUUAUGUGGGGCUUGGGCGGUAUGGACUGAGAGAAAUGCCAGACAUCAUGGAGAACAAACUAGAAAGAUUGCAAAAUCAGUACGAUGGACAGUUGACACUGCUGCUGAUCUAGCUCAGCUAGGAACGAAACAGCAGAAGCCUACUGUUAAGGUGCAAGAAAGAUGGAAGCCACCUGAUGAAAGUGUACUAAAAAUUAAUGUGGAUGCUCAUUUCCUGGAAGUUCAUGGAUAUGGUGGUACAUGCCUGGUUGUCCGAGACGUACGGGGUCAUCUCAUCAGGGCACAGGCUUUGUGGUAUGAUUAUGCAUCUACAGCCAGAUUGAUGGAGGCAUAUGCAAUCCGAGAUGCAGUCAAGCUGGCUGCAGAUAUGGGCUGGCGCAAGAUCGUUGUUGAAAGUGAUGCCUUGGAAGUUGUUAAGCUAUGGAACUCUCAAGAAUUUGAUAGAGCUGAUACCAAGGGACCUCUACAGGAGGUGAAGGAGCUAUGCAGGAACUUCACUAGUUUCAAUAUUUAUUUUGUAAGGAGAGAAGCCAAUAUGGCUGCUCAUUUAUGUGCUAAUCAGGCUAGUCAGGUUCGUAGGAGAUGCCUCUGGAUAAAUUUUAUCCCAGUUUUUCUCCACGAUUGUAUUACCCGCGAAUGUAUUACCUUCGAGUAAUCAAUAUAGCUCCUGAAUUGCAAAAAAAAAACAAAGAUUCCUGCCAAAGGAAGAUUCCAGCCAAAAGGUCUGUUGACACCGUCCCAAUAAGGGUAAAGUAGUAGGAGUAUAGUUCCGUGGGUGCAUGCGUCGCGUACAGCCUACGCAUGGUCGAUAUAGCCAUAUAGGUAGCUACAAAUAUGAGUAUGUGUCUUGGUUCUUCUUUGAUAUGACAGUAGGUGUCUUGGUUCUUCUCUGACAGGAAAACGCACUUAUACAGGAUUCAGGAGCUCUGAUUAGAAGGAAAACAUGUUGAAUUAGAUGAAGAAUGUGGGAAUUCUUGUUUUUAGUGCACAAAAAAGAAGAUGAAAGAUGCAGCUAAUUGUGUAGUGAUCAAAUUGUAGAUGCUGACAUGUUUUUAUCGAGAGGAUCUAGUGUUUACAGGAUCAGUAUAGAAUGCAUUUUUUUCUAUAUGAAAUAUGCAUGGAUGUUUUGAAAGGAGGUCUAUGUACUUGUUUGAUUAUUAUAAAGAAUUCAAAUAUGUGAUUGUUCCCCUAAUUCUUUUCAAAAAUAAAAGAUGAAAUACCGUGUAAUCUGGAAAUAAAGAGAAAAAUUUCUGAAAUUCUCUGAUUCCACUGAAAAAUCAGUGAAGGACAUUGCAAGCCAGAAUAAGAUCCAGUACAUUAAAAUUUUCAGUUCAUACAUACACCAAAAUCCAUCCAAAUAAAAUCAGAAAUUCUCUGAAUUUUUAGUGUACCACAUACACCACUAGUAUGCAAAUAACUUAACUAAUUACUUUGAGCUGAAAAAUAAGUCAACUAAUAAGGACCACCUCCAGCACAGAAACUUCCUACCUGACCAAAGAAUCACCGCCAGACUCAAUAUCAAUCACCUCUACUGUCUUGGUGGAAUCAUCAUUGGAAUUGUUCUCUCUUGCAGAAGAGGGGUCAUUUUCAAUAUUUUCACAUAUACACGUAGCCCGGUUGUCAUAGAAUCGCCUCUUUCCAGCACGACUUCCAUGGCAUCUCCCGUAGGUCCUUUCUGAAUUACUUGCACCUGUGCCCAGCAUUCAUCCCAUGACAUAUCUCCCCUGUUUAUAAAUAAGCUGUAGAGUUGUUUAACAUUUUCUUGUGGCCAAUAUAUCUCGUGCGAAAAACAGUUUCAUAAUUUAGAAUGAACUAAGACGAGCACGAAUGUAUAUAGUGAACAAGGAUGUGCAACAACAAGUAUUCUGUCCAUGUUGCAAUUAUUUUCAGAAUCAGUUCCAUCAUAGAUAAAAUCAAUUGAAGUCACGAGAGAUGAGUAUGAAACACAUAAUGCAAACCGACUAAGAUAACCGAAGAUCACAUCGUAACUAACGUAAGAAGCAAAUGGGCAUUUGACUACUAUAAAUCAGAGCAAAAGUGUCAGGGGCAUGCUUGCCUUGGGAGUUCAGCAGACACCUCUCCAUAGAGGUUACUUUGCUUGGCACUGCCCUCGCCGUAAGCCCGUCACGGGAUCGGUAACUGCUUGUACGAGUACUAGUAAUAACACCAAGAAUCAUCAUAGCAUUCCGCUACAUUACAUUCAGAAGGAAAGAAUUAUUGCAUUAAUGCAUAAGCCAUUUAGAGCGGCACUGACUACUUCUGUACCAACCAUGCCAAUCGAGAUUGAGAGAUUUAGGGAACUCGAAUCCAGAUAUGAACUGCAAACCUGCGUUUCCAUCCUCCAGCCGACUGAUAUGAACUAGAAUUGCACAGAGAUACAGCUCCCUGGAUCAACACCUGCGUUUCUAUCCACCACCCAGUGGUUAUGUACAAGACUUUGAAUCGCCAUGGCCGGACUUGGGGUGCAUCAGUUGUUCGUAUGUCAGGAGAAAUCAGAACGGAUGAACUAGGAGUACCAUCCACCACAUUGGAUCUUGGAAAAGGAUUCGGCAUAACAGAUCAGAUGAGAACCGAGGUAUAUUCACAUUAGUUCAUAUGGAGAAUGGCGACGAACUAACCUGGAACUUGAAUCGAGAUCCAGAUCAGCAGCGAUAGAUUCGAUAAUAUCGAUUCCAGGAGUGCGACGGGAUUUGCUAUUCCUCCCAUAAGAGGUCCACGGCCGCGGCGUAGUUCGAUGAUUCCUUGAUCCUUAUUGCCUCCGCGAGGCUCCAUGGAUUCCAUUGACAGCUAGUGAGAGGGCGCGCGGCCGGAUUGUGUUACGAGAGGGUGGAAGUGGUGAGACAGCUAUGGAUUUGUUUGAUGGGAGGUGGAAGGAGG
rnacentral:lncRNA from 1 species